UGAAAUAGGGUGUUCGUAUAUAUGAAAAUCUUUGAAGAACGAAGCAAUCAUGUUUAAAUAAAUCAUUGUUCAAGUCUAGUCUCCAAAGUAUACACUCGACUAGUCUUGAAGCAGGGAACAUUUGUAGUCAUCGUAAUUUUAUUCAAAUUAAAUUUAAAAUAUAUUAGUCCAAAUAAAAUGUGAUGGAUUAAUAUGAUUGGAUGAAUUAUUUAAAUUUAAAUAAAUAUAAAUUUUAUUAAAGUCUAAUUUCUGUUGGGCUAAUUCGUUGAUUUGGACUGCAAAUAAUGAGCUCAAUUUGCUAAGUCCAAUAUGUCAUCAUAUUUUAGAGGCCCAAAUGAGUGCCACGUUUCAAAUGACGUGGUAUGUCAAGUCAAGUAAGGAGACAAUAGGACCAUGCCACAUGUCAAAAUGAUGCAACAUGCCUAGUGAAAUCAGAGGCCCAAUCAAAUGUCAUCAUUUCACUUAAAUCUGAUUGGCCAAAAGAAGUCAAUCUUCACCAUGACUCUUUCUUUCCUACAACUAUAAAUAGGGGUUCCAUAAUGUAAGACCCUUAAAAUUUUAAUCAUUUUAUUUUUAAUCCUACCGUGUUCGUAAUAUCGAUUUUUGACUUGAAUUAUAUUUAGGGAUGUUAAAAGGGUAAUUUGAAAAAGUUUUGAAAUUUUCUAAAAACGUUCAUGGCUAUUUUAAAAUUUUGAGGCAGUGUCCCUUGGAGAUAUCAUCGUGCUACGGAGAUUAACCUCUGCGACAUUGGUGUGGCACGGAGGAUAACCUCCGCGAUAAGGUCAUGCCAUGCUGAUACUAAAUUUCAUCCAGCUUUAUUUUUUUCACUUAGGGGUGAGGGGUUUUUUUAUCUUUUCACCCUUUCCACAACUUAUAAACAUAAAAGGAAUCUUUUUUAUUCUGUUUUCAAAGAUCAAACUCUACUUAAUUCAUCUUUACCUCUCCAAUCAAUAAAACUUAAGGGUUUCAUAGAUAAUUCAUCAUCCGGGCUCCAAACUUCAAAUUGACUUCAAAUUCAUGUGUGUUUCAAGCAUGUUUCUCUUUCCUAAACUUAAAUUUUAUAUUAGGGGAAUUGAUUUAAUGGAUUUUCAUGUGAUUUAAAUUGUGGGUUUUGAAAUUGGAUUGAAGGGUUUUGGUUGUUACCAAUUGAAUUACUUGUCCCAUGUUUGGAAUUGAUUACGCAUGCUUUAAAUUGAUGUUUUUGAGACUAAAUUGGUAUAUUAUUCAAGUGGCUGAAAUGGGGGACAUGAGUUUCUCCAAAUUGGAUGAAUUUUGGCUCGAAAUUGCAUGAACCUCAACCCACUUUGUGAAUUUAAUUUUAUUAUGAAAAAUUACAUGGUUUAGCUUUCUUUUGAACCCAAUGCAUUGCAUUAAUGAAUUAAUGGAUAUAAAAAUGGUCUUAGUGGCCACAGUUUGGAUUUUAAUGGAACUUGUGAGUCCAAUUUGGUUAUGUAAAUUAAUUUGGCAUGAUUAAUUUAGAUUGCAAGCAUAUUGGUAUGACGAUACCAAGUGGUAAAUGCCUUAAUGAAUGACUCUCAGAUUAAUGGUUUGAAUUAUGUGCCAAAGGGUUUAAAUUUGAGCAUAAAGGGGGUUGUGUAGCUUGUCGUGAAGGUGGAGGUCCCGAGAGAACCAAUAUCGGAUAUCAUGUUUCCUGGCGUCGGGGUCUUUAUGACCGUGUGCAUAGUUCAUACAUUAUAUAUAUAUAUAUAUAUAGGAAUGGUUGAAGCAUCGCUUGCUCUGGCCCUUCCUCGAAUUUUCCUGGUUCGUGCGACUAACAUACGCUGGGAUCCUUUCAGUAGGGGGAGCUGAACCCAUAUAGCCCGUGGGUGCCCUUAAGACGGAUAAAGAUACACAAUCCAUAUUAAUAAUUUUAAACUCUCACGUUCAUGACCCUUACCCUAUCCCAACAUUCUAUAUAUUAGUUUAACUGCACUUGCCUCACACGUGUAAUAUUUAAUAUUUAAAAUUAAAUGAUUUUACCUAUUGCGCAGACUUUUAAUAAAGUGUGAAAGUUCAAAUCACUUUUAAAAAAGCUUUCAUACUUUAAUAUAAUAAUCCAUUAGAAGUUUCAAGUAGUUGAUGGAUCAUUACUUUUGUGUUUGUCAUAUAGUGCAUCUUUCCAUUGUUCCGAUGGAUCAAGAUGCAUCAAUUUCAAUCAUAUUUGUGUUAUGGUCAUAUUUUAUAUAUAUGUUUAAAAUCUUUUCUUAAUUUUAAAGUCAAAUCUUUAUAAUUAUUGAUUACAUUCUUAUUACGUACUUAAAACUUUUUAAAAUCUUGGACUUCUUAAAUUUUUUUUAUUCUAAUAGUUUUAUAUUUAUUUCUAGAUUUUUCAAAUCUUUUUAAAAUCAAAUUUAGUUGAUUUAGAAUUCUUAAACUAAUGGAAAAAGUAUUAGUUGUUAUUAAUUUUGAUAAUUUCUAAUAAGGAAAAGUUUUACCAUAAAUAUCUUUAAUUAAUUUUCAGCUCUUAAAUUAGGAAAAAAUAUUGAAAUUUUGAUGAUUUCUAAUAAGGAAAGGUUUAACCAUAAAUAUAUUUAAUUAAUUUUUAACUCUUAAAUAUUAAGAAAAAAUAGUGAAAAGAUGAUUUUAUCUAAAGCAAAGACUUUUAAUGAAGGGUAAAAAGAUCAAACAACAUUUCUAAGGCCCUUCACACUUUUAAUAUAUUAUAUAAUAUGUAUAUAUGAAUGUGUGCAUAUAAUUUUGACUGAUUUUGGACAUGACAUUAAAAAAAAAUGAGUUACAUGUCAAUGCUUAUCCCACUGACCAUCCUAGGAUGCUACAUCAUUUCAUUAUGUAGGUUUCGAAGAUUUUCUUGUUGUCCCUGUGCAGCAUUAGGUGGAUUAGCACGUUUAUUGAAUUACUAUGAAGUGGUGAGCCUCCAUCCUUCGGAAGACCUUAUCAUUUUAUUGUUUCUUCUUUAUUGGUUCAGUACUUUUGGAUUCUUUUUGGUCAUAGUCGGGGGCAUUACCCAACUUAGAUGUUAUUGUGAUUUUAGAGGCUAUUGUGGAUAGAUGUGGGUUGGUUAGUUAUUGAUUGACUCUUAGUUUUCAUAGAAUUAUCUAUUCAUCAUUCAUUACUGUUUAAUUGGCUUCCACAUGGUUAUUAUUAUUAUUAUUAUUAUUGUUAUUAUUAUUGUUAUUAAUAUUGUUGUUGUUGUUGUUGUUGUUAUUAUUAUUAUUAUUAUUAUUAUUAUUAUUAUUAUUAUUAUUAUUAUGCUCUUGAGGUUAGGUUAAGGGGGUGGUAUCCGGUCCAUGGUGGACUUGAGAUACCAGUCACGGUCAGACCCUGGUUCGCGUCGUGAUACAUAAUUCAGAAAGAGGCCAACAAUUCUAACAAGAAGCAAGAGAGAGCUCAUGGAUCAAACGCCGCAGAUUUCUCUACAAAUUCAUUCAUUCAAGAUCUAGUUCAUCAACAUUCAAUAUCAAGACCACAAGAUUUAAGAACAAUCUCAGAGGCCUUGAAUUAAGUACAAGUCGAGAUCAAGUUCAUCGAAUCCACAAAUCAAUAUCCAGUCCAUCAAGAUUCAAGAUCAAGAUUGCAAGAUUCAAGAUCAAGCUCAAAAACUCUUGAAUUCAAAUACAAGUCAAGAUCAAAUUUAUUAAAUUCACAAAACAAGUUCAAAUUCUAGAUCAAGCUCGAAGUUCUUGAAUUUAUUUUCGAAAAUGAUUAUUGCAAUAUUUUUACUAUCUCAAUUAAUUAUUUUCUCGAUUUCAAAUUUUAUUGUCCAACAAUUCCUAUAACUAUCUUUUAUUACCAAAAUAAUAAAAUGGUGUGAUUUCAAAGUUGAUUAGUUGCUUUGAAGACAUGUCAGUCUAUCUUCACCAUUAAAUCAUUGAUCUGUGUCCAGUUAGUUUUAAGCUUUAAUAAGAAAAGUAUUUGUUCUUUUGGGUCAAUCUUUAUGUGUGUAAAAUCAAAACUAAAAGCACCAGAAAAAAGCAAAGUGUCAAGCUAUUGAGAAGUCAUAUGACAGUUUUUAGGAUAAAACUUAAUAAUUUUAUAAUAAAAGAUUUAGAAAUAUUUGAAUCAAAAAAUAUUAAUUUAUUUUUAAAAAAGAUUGUUAGUAUCUUAAAGUUAGGAUAUAAGAUUGAAGAGUUCUAAAUGAACGCUUAAUAUUUCAUAAACUUACCCCUUUUAAUUUUAAAUUUAAAUUGAAAGAAAAAUAUCCUUUCUAAAUUUGAAUUUAUAAAUAAAUCUUUUAUGAAUUCUAAAUUAAUAAAACAAUAAGAUAAUUACUAUAAAAUUAUUUAGAUAAUAAAAUAAAUUAUUUAAAUUUUGUAUGAAAAGAUACACGUUGAUUAUUUAGUACUGCAAAUCUGCAAAAUCCUACACAAAAUUGACAACUGUAUAACUUAUUAUUAAAAAAAUUAAAAAAACAUGAUUACGAGCUUUUAUAACAAAUAAUCAAUAAAUAAUUAAAUAAUUUUUUUAACAAAAUUACAUAAUUAAAAAAAAUGAAAAGCCCCUCAUAAAACGUCAUCCGACUAAAAUGCACACGUUUCGACAUUUAUCUUUUUCUUUAAAAAUAUCAUAGUAAAUAAAAAUAAUGCCUCCUCUUAUUUUUCUUUUUUUAUUUAAAUCAAUUAGAUGAGUUGAGUAUCUAAUAAAAUGCUAACUCUUUCACUUUUCAUGUUUGGAAACAUACAACUUUUUAAACGAUCUUUUAAAAAAAAUUUGAAAUUAUAAACUAUAAGAUAAAGAUAUUGUGAAAAAAAAAUUAGAGAUAAGGAAGAAUAAUAAACUAAUCUUCUUUUAACUAAUUGAUUUGAUAUUUGAAUUUGAUUGAAGUUCCAAAUUCUUAACCUGUUUGUCUCUUAUAUAAACACUCAUAUGUCAUCAGAUUUAUUCAUGAUUUUUUUACUACACUUUCUAUUCUUCAUUUUUAAAGACUAUUUUUAUUUAAUAUUUGUCAUUUUCAUAUGCAGGAAGGAUAUAAGAUAUUCAUCUUCAUCUCCUCUGUUAAAGUUUAAGGUACACUAAUUUAAAUUGAUAUAUAUAUAUAUAUUUCUCUCAUGAUUCGAUUUAAGAAAUAAUAUUAUUGUUACCGCUCUCUUUUCCCAAUCAUGAUCCAACACGUAUCUCCAUCAUCAUCCCUUUUAUUAUUUUUUUAUGUUUGUUAAGGUGCAAAAUAGUUUCUUUAUCUAAAUUUAUGUAUUGAUUCUAGCACGAAGAUUUUUUGAAAAAUAAAUAAUAUUAGAUAUUAUUACACCACUUUAAAUAAAAAAAAGAAAAACUUUAUUAAGAUUAUAUAUUUCGACUCAAUUUUAUUGUAUCCUUAUCCAAGGAAAUUGAAAAAAGCCUCGGAAGCUCAUAUCCUAUUUUUUAGAGGAUGUUAGCAAUUAAAUUUGUCCAUCCCAUUUCAAAUGAAAAAUGUCUUGGGUAUAAUGUAGAUAUUAAAAAAAAUAAAGCAAGAAAAAUUAUGUUUUUUUAGAAGAAAGAAGAUACAUUUGAAUUUUAAAAAUAAAAUUUCAAUAAAUUUACUAACCGGGUGGACAUAUUUUUGUUCAAGAGAUUAACAUUUGUUUUAUAGUUAAAUGUGGCUUACACGAAAUGGAUAGUAUAUUUAACAAAAAUUAGAUAGAUCAUUUUUUUUAAUUUGAAUUGAAAAUACAUUAUCUUUUAAAAGAUAAUUUAGUUCAGAUGUAUGAUUUUUUUUUCUUUUUUUGUAAAAGUCUUAUUCUUAUACAUCUUUCCAAAAAGUGUCAAUUUACUUUUAACUUAAGAUAAGGAUGAAAUAAAUUGAAUACAUUAGGGACCUAAAAACUGUUGGGUUCAAAGUACAUGAAAAGUGAAUGGAAAAUGGAGAUAACCAAGUGGAAGGAAAAAUAGAGAAGAAAACACUAAAAUGAAAAGUGUACUCUAAAAUGGAAAGUCUACUAUUUCUCCCACAUUAGUGGGAGAAUGUGACUUUCAAGUGUUUAUAUUAAGAAACACUUAUUUCACUUGGUAAGUGAGGCAAGAAAUAAAAGAUGCCUCGCGCCCUCGUCGUCGUCGCUCGCUUGGAUUUGGAUUUGGCAAAUGAUCGAUCGAUGAGAUCUAUCUUUUUGGACAAAAUUUAUUCGACAGAAAUCUAAUCCGAAGGUAAAAUAAAAAUGUAGUAAAUUUUUUCUGUGUUUUGAUCCUCCAGUUAUAUGCAUGCAUGCACUGUUUCAAACUGAUGCUUCUGAGGAAUGCACUGUUUCGAACUGAUGCUUCGGAAGGAUGGAAUCCUUCAAUGAAAUGACACACUGAUUCAUGAAAUUGUCUGCCUGUUCGGAAAAGAUGCAAUCUUUGGAUGAACAAACAUGAUUUUUCAGGAAAGGUCACACCUUUUAAGUAAAGGUCACACCUUUUAAGUAAACCAUUGUCACUUUUCAAAAGAGGCAUAUGAAGGAUAUAUAAACCUGCUUUCAUCCAAAGGUUUAGACAUGAAUUUUCUAAAUGACAAACUCUCUUCUUGUCUUCAAAUAUUUUGUGUGAUCAAUUAAACUGUUGAGUGAGUUUGUUGAAUCCAACAAUUUGAGGUACCGCUAUUAUUCGGAUUGAAGGCCAUUUUAUCCUGGGUGGAAGAUUCCAUAACCUUGGGUACAGUGAGGGAAAUUAUUCCUUAGAGGACACUCCGUGAAGUCGAGGGACUUGGCCUUACAAAUUCUAUUUCAUCUAUUUUCUGAAAAUAAACACACUUCUUAGAUAGAUUUUUCAUAAUCUAGUGUUGAAGGUGUUAAGUAACUUCAAAAGUGUUCUUGUCUUAGACUUGAACUAGAGUUGAAUUUGGUGUUGCAUGUAUACAGAUUCUUGUACCCGAACACCAUACAAUCACAAUCAUAAGGAAUAAACUGCAGAAUCUGCAUUGCUUGUUUUUGGAGAUUAAAGCUUUAAGUUUUCUACUCCGUUUGUUCUUAACUAGUGAUUCGAAGACAUUAAAUCUUCAUCACAAGUUAAAGAUCACUCGGUUGAUGAUUGAAAGUCAUAAAAACUUAAUCGUUAACUAGAAACAAGAAGAAGAGUUUAAAGUUGCUUAACUUUAUAAGUAGUAUUCUGAAAAUACUAAAUUUUAUUGUCUUGUGGUGACAAAAAAAAUGACUAACGAAAGCCAAACGCAAGAUGCGGCUACAACUAUGGGGGAAACUAGUAUUGCCUCAAUAAGUCGAGCAAAUACUCCACAACUAAUGGCACCUGUAAAGAAGCCCAAAAAUUUUACAGGCAUUGACUUUAAGCGAUGGCAGCAGAAGAUGUUCUUCUGCCACACAAUACUAUGUCUUCAAAGGUUCACUAGUGAAGAUGCUCCUGAGGUGCCCAAGGAAACCUCAAACAUAGAGCGUUUCAUAAUUGUAGAGGCUUGGAAACCCUCGCACUUCCUUUGUAGGAAUUAUAUCUUGAGUGGUCUCCAAGACGGCCUCUAUAAUAUUUACAGUGGAACUAAGACAUCGAAGGAAUUGUGGGGUACACUAGAACAAAAAUACAAGACAGAGGAUGCGAGAAUUAAGAAAUUCUUUGUUGCAAGGUUCCUGGACUUUAAAAUGAUAGAUAGCAAAUCGGUUGUCUCUCAAGUGCAGAAAUUGCAAGUAAUAAUCCACGAUCUCUUAGCAGAGGGCAUAUACUUGAAAAAUACCUUAGUUGAACAAAUUAAAAAUGUUCUUAGUACUCACACAAACUUUUUUGUAGGUUUAAUUGUGAAUGAUGCAUUUCAAGUAGCAGCGAUCAUUGAGAAGCUACCACAUAUGUGGAAAGACUUCAAAAACUACUUGAAGCAUAAACACAAGGAGAUGACUGUCGAUGAUCUUAUUGUCUGACUGCGUAAUGAAUAGGAUAGUAAGGCUGUCGAAAGAAGGUCAAAUGGGAAUUCUACAAUUAAUGGAGCACAUAUUGUAGAAGAUGACCAAAACAAUUCUAAAAAGGGAAAGAAAGUUGAACAAGGAAGAAAUCAACCUAAGAAGAAAUUCAAGGGAAAGUGCUUCAACUGUGGCAAGAUUGGCCAUAAGUCCACGGGUUGUCGUGCCUCUAAGAAAGGCAAGAAAAAGGACCAAGCAAAUAUGAUUGAGUCCAACAAAGAAUGUGAUGAUCUGUGUGCUAUGUUUUCAGAAUGCAACUUGGUGGGGAAUCCUCGCGAGUGGUGGAUAGAUUCCGGUACCACCCUCCAUGUUUAUGCCAACAAAGAGUUGUUUUCAUCAUUCGCUCUAGCUCAAGUAUAAGAAAUGAUCUACAUGACUAACUCCGCUAUGGCUAAGGUAGAUGGAACAGGAAAAAUAGGCUUGAAAAUGACUCCAGAAAAGGUCUUGACACUUAACAAUGUCUUGUAUAUUUUGGAAUUAUAUAAGAACUUGAUUUCUGUUUCACUUCUAGACAAGAAUGGAUUCAAAUAUGUAACUGUUUCUGGAAAAAUUAUAAUUAGCGAAGGAGAAGUGUAUGUAGGAAAAGACUAUCUCACCGAGGGCCUUUAUAAGAUGAAUGUAAUAAAUGUUGAAAUUAAUAAAAGUUCAAAUUCUUCUUACUUGAUCGAGUCUUAUAAUGUGUGGCAUGAACGUUUAGGCCAUAUUAAUUACAAAACGUUAUGAAAACUGAUUAACUUAGAGGUUUUGCCAAAGUUUGAGUGCAAUAAAUCAAAGUGUCAAACGUGUGUGGAAUCAAAGUAUACAAAGCAUCCUUAUAAGUCCGUUGAAAGAAAUUCCAAUCCUUAGACUUAGUACACACUGACAUUUGUGAUAUGAAGUCAACUCCAUCACGUGGUGGGAAAAAGUAUUUCAUAACUUUUAUUAAUGAUUACACUAGAUAUUGUUAUGUCUACUUGCUAAAUAGUAAGGAUGAAACAAUAGAUGCGUUUAAGCAAUACAAAACUGAAGUAGAAAAUCAGUUAGAGAAAAAGAUAAAAUGAUAAAAAGUGAUAGGGGUGGAGAAUAUGAAUCUUCCUUUGCCGAAAUAUGUGUAGAGAAUGGAAUCUUCCAUCAAACUACGACCCCGUAUUCACCUCAAUCUAAUGGAAUUGUGGAAAGAAAAAACUGAACCUUGAUGAAAAUAAUGAAUAUCUUACUUAUAAGUUCUGAUUUACCGCAAAAUUUAUAGGGGGAGGUUAUCCUUACAGCCAACCGUAUACUCAAUAGAUUUCCCCAUAGUAAGACACAAUCAAUUCCUUAUAAAAAAUAGAAAGGAAGAAAACCCAAUUUGAAAUAUUUCAAAGUGUGGGGGUGUCUAGCAAAGGUCCAAGUUCCUAUGCCUAAAAAGGUUAAGAUAGGACCUAAGACUGUGGACUGUGUGUUCAUAGGAUAUUCUAAAAGCAGUAAAGCAUGUUGUUUUUUGGUUCAUAAAUCCAAAUAUCUGGAUAUAAAUGAAAAUACGGUAAUUGAAUCAGGUAAUGCUGAAUUUUUUAAAAACAUUUACCCGUAUAAAAUUAGACAUGAAUAGUCUAGUGGAGGAUCUAAACGGCCUUGAGAUGAACCAAGUGAGAAUGUACAUAAUGAAGAGAAUCCAAGACGUAGUACACGUCAAAGAAUGUUUACUUCAUUUGGAUAAGAUUUUGUAACAUUUCUCUUUGAAAAUGAGCCUCAAACAUUUAAAGAAGUGAUGUCGUUGUCAGACUCAUCCUUUUGGAAAGAGGCAGUCAACAGUGAGAUUGAUUCAAUCUUAAGUAACUAUACAUGGGAAUUGAUUGAUCUUCCUCCAGGAAAUAAACCUUUAGGUUAUAAAUGGAUCUUCAAAAGAAAAAUAAAGGUGGAUGAUACUAUAGAUAAAUACAAGGCAAAACUUAUAGUAAAAGGCUUCAAACAAAAAGAAGGACUUGAUUACUUUGAUACAUACUCGCCAGUAAUAAGGAUAACAUCGAUUCGAAUGUUAAUUGCCUUGGCGGCGGUCUAUGAUCUUGAAAUUCAUCAAAUGGAUGUGAAAACCGCAUUCCUAAAUGGAGAAUUGGAGGAAGAAAUUUACAUGGAACAGCCUAAGGGUUUUGUGGUUCCAGAAAAAAAGAAUAAGGUGUGUAAGCUUAUUAAGUCAUUGUAUGGACUAAAGCAAGCACCUAAACAAUGGCAUGCAAAGUUUGACCAAACCAUGUUGGCAAACGGGUUGAAGAUAAAUGAAUGUGAUAAAUGUGUUUAUAUUAAAGACACUCCGAAUCACCAAGUCAUUGUUUGUUUAUAUGUGGAUGAUAUGUUGAUCAUCAGUAAAGAUAUUUCUGACAUAAAUGCAACGUAACAAAUGCUCGAGAGUAAGUUAGAUAUGAAAGACCUUGGAGUUACGAAUGUGAUCUUAGGAAUAAGAAUCCAUAGAACUCCACAAGGGUUGUCAUUGUCACAGUCUCAUUAUAGCGAAAAUGUACUUAAAAAAUUCAAGGAUAUGAAAUUCGAUAUUGCCACGACUCCAUUGGAUGUGAGUUUUACACUUCAAAAUAAUGAAGGUGAAAGUGACUCAUAAUUUUAGUAUGCAAGAGUAUUGGGAUGUUUAAUAUAUAUAAUGAACUGUACACGACCAGACAUAACAUGUGCUAUUAGUAAAUUGAGUCGUUACAUGAGUAAUCCCAACAAAACUCAUUGAAUGGCAAUGAAAAGAGUUUUAGGGUAUCUUAAAUACACUCAAUACUAUGCCAUGUAUUAUAAUAAAUAUCCCACAGUACUCGAAGGAUAUAGUGAUGUAAAUUGGAUCACCGGAUCGAAUGAAGUAAAAUCCAUAAGUGGAUAUGUAUUUACUAUCGGUGGAGGAGCAGUCUCUUGGAAAUUAUCCAAACAAACUUGUAUUGCUCGCUCUAUAAUGAAAUCUAAAUUUAUCGCAUUGGAUAAAGUCGGUGAGAAGCAGAAUUGCUCCAAAAUUUCUUGGAAGAUAUUUCUUAUUGGCCCAAACUAGUGGCACCAGUAUGUAUACACUGUGAUAGCCAAACGGUGAUAGGUAGGGUAGGGAGCAUUAUAUACAACGGUAAAUCUCAUCACAUACGACAGAGACAUAAUACCAUUAGGGAACUUCUGUCUAGUGGAAUUAUCGUUGUUGACUAUGUUAAGUCAAAGGAUAAUGUAUCAGAUCCACUUACAAAUGUCCUAUCUAGAGAAGGAGUGGAAAGGACAUUCAAGGGAAUAGGUUUAAGGCCUAGGAUAAGUCAGCAUGGUGAUAACUCUACCUAGAAGACUGGAGAUCCCAAGAGCUAGGUUCAAGGAGAUCAAAAAAAGUUGUGUCUGACAGGUUCAACAUUGUCAAUUACCCAACCCAUUCUCAUGAUAUGGUUAAUGGUUAGUAAACAAGGAUAAAACUUAAGGUGAAAAGUCUUUUAAUGAUUAUCUAAAUUUGGCAGAUUUAACCAAAUAGUUUAAUCUACAGGAUUGAACAUUUAGAAAUCACCUAUGUGAGGGUGAAGUGGAAGCCGCUUCAGGGACAAUGUUAGUAAAGGAUUAUUCUCUAAGCUCUUAUGAAACCGAAACGUGUUCAUGGCUGAAAAGAACAAAACCGUGAGAACCAUAAACGGUAAAAGGCUGGUUGUAUGACAAGUGUUGUCUAGGUGUACAUUAAAUCUUAAUGGUUAAAAAAUAUCAAAUCUACCAAUUGACCGAGUGCAUCCGAUGUAUGUUCACUACGGAAAGUUCAAAGGGAAACCCACUUAUCCAAAUGCAAUCAGUCUUUGCUUGAUGAUCACAUACUUAUCCGUAAAAUUUUUAUGAAAAAUAUCCAUUCCCCAUUCAUGUGGGGGAUUUUUGGGUUCAAAGUAUAUGAAAAGUGUGAAUGGAAAAUAGAGGAAAUCAAGUGGAAGGAAAAAUAAAGAAGAAAACACUAAAAUAGAAAGUGUACUCUAAAAUGGAAAGCCUACUAUUUCUCCCACAUUGGUGGGAGAAUGUGACUUUCAAGUGAUUAUAUUAAGAAACACUUAUUCCACUUGGUAAGUGAGGCAAUAAAUAAGAGACAUCUCGCGCUUUCGUCGUCGUCGCUCGCUCGGCUCGACUUCGGAUUUGGAUUUGGCAAAUGAUCAAUCGAUGAUAUCUAUCUUUUUGGACAAAAUUUAUUCGACAGAAAUCUAAUCCGAAGGAAAAAUAAAAAUGCAACAAUUUUUUUUUGUGUUUUGAUCCUCCAGUUAUAUGUAUGCAUGUGCUAUUUCAAACUGAUGUUUCUGAGGGAUGCACUAUUUUGAACUGAUGCUUCAGAAGGAUGCAAUCCUUCAAUCAAAUGACACACUGAUUCAUGAAAUGGUCUGCCUGUUCAGAAAAGAUGCAAUCUUUGGAAGAACAAACAUGAUUUUUUAGUAAAGGUCAUACCUUUUAAGUGAACCAUUGCCACUUUUCAGAAGAAGCAUAUAAAUGUUAUAUAAACCUACUUUCAUCCACAGUUUUAGACAUGAAUUUUCUGAAUGACAAACUUUCUUCUUGUCUUUAAAAUAUUUCGUGUGAUCAAUCAAACUGUUGAGUAAGUUUGUUGAAUCCAACAAUUUGAGGUACCACUAUUGUUCAUAUUGAAGACCAUUUUAUCCUGGGAGAAAGAUUCUAUAACCUAGGGUACAGUGAGGAGAAUUAUUCCUUAAGGACACUCCGUGAGUUCGGGGGCUUGGCCUUAUAAAUUCUAUUUCAUCUAUUUUCUGAAAAUAAACAUACUUCCUAGAUAGAUUAUUCAUAAUAUAGUGUUGAAGGUGUUAAGUAACUUCAAAAGUGUUCUUGUCUUAGACUUGAACUAGAGUUGAAGUUGGUGUUGCAUGUAUACAAAUUCUUGUACACAAACACCAUACAAUCACAAAAAUAUGGCUAGAAUCUGUUGUACUUCAAAAAUGAUAAAAGCACUAACAAAUAUACACUGAUGUAUUUUAAUUACAUUAAGCCUGAUAAGUUGUUCUAGAAAUUUUAAAUUAAAGAGAGGUCAAUAAUAGAAUAAAGUUCAAACAUAAGAAAAUCAUAAGUAAAAGAAAAGAGAUAUCUAUUCUAAGAGCACUACAUAUUUAUUUUAAGUGAGGUGAUUGGUUAAUAAAAAUCAAUAUUAACAAACUAACAAUUUUAAAUAGUAGUGAAAAUGUAAUAAAGAAAAAUAUUAAACAUAAAAGUUUAUCGAUAAUUAUAUGAUUUGUUGUCUUAUUCAUACAGAUUUGAUUGUAGUUUUCAUUGAGGAAUAAUAUGAUUAUUGAUUUUUAAAAAAAUAAUAAUUUAAUUUAGUAAAAAAAAUGUAAUAAAGAAAAAUAUGAAACAUAAAAGUUUAUCUAUUUAAUUGAUGACUCAUUGUCUUUAUUCAUAUAGAUUUGAUUGUGAGAUUGUGAUAGUAUUGGUGUGUGUAGGGGGUGGGGCGGGUUGGGGGGCAUGUAAUAAAGAAAAAUAUGAAGCCUAAAAGUUUAUUGACAAUUAUAUGAUUCAUUGUCUUUAUUCAUAUUGUAAUGCCCCAUAUUUUUUUACUAGGAUUUGAACCAUCAUUCCUACGUGUAUAAACCCAAACCCAAUGAUUUCUAUGUAAAUAUAAGUGUGAUUAUCAAUUCUAUAGUGUGGUAACAUUAGUUUGGGAACAUCUUUGGAGAUUAAUUGAGGUCAUAUAAAUCUUCUAACUCAAAGUUGAGUUGAGAACUUUUCUACCGAUUGAGUUUUAGUGAACGUUCCUACGUGGGUUAACUUUUAAAGACCAUUAUUCUUAGAAUAUAACGAGUUAGGUGGCCUACUAUAUAGAAAAUGAAAAAUCUUUGGGUCUUCUUUAAAUGCAUCUGAUUUCACGUUAAUUCGAUAUCGGAGUAGAAAGUUAUGCUCAUUUUACCUGAGAGUGUCUGUCUACUAAAGAUUAACAAUGGGAGUUGACGAGCUGUCAAUUAGUUGAUGGACUGUCAACUAAAGUCAUCAAACUUAGACAGUAAAAUCCAAAAUUUUUUAGAUGUUGAUGAAGGGACUUAACAAAGCCGUCAACUAGUUGACGGGCUGUCAACUUAGAAAUUUCUACAAUUUAUUUUUUAAGUUUCUUCAGGGGUAGUUUAAUCUUUUCCUCACCUCAAAUCCUACCCCACAACUUAAAUCAUUAUAUAAGCAUUAUGUACUCAUCAGUUACUAAUUUUUCAUUGCUAUUUCUUCUCUCCACUCUCAAGAGAAUCAAAACUAGAGUUUCUUCCCAAAGUUCAACUUUCAAGGCUCCAAGUUCAAGUUUUUCUCAAAGUCCUUUCUUCAAAAAGGCAUGUUGAACAUUCCUUACUUUAAGUAUUACUAUAUUUUUUCAAUUUUCUUGGUAAUUAUGUAUUGUUUAAUGGUUGUUUGAAAUUAGAGUUAAGGGAUUUGAUUAUGAAAGCUUUAGAUUGAAUUUCCUUUUAUUUUAAUGGUUUUAUCGAUACUAUUAACAGGAUUUGAACCGUAAAUUUUUUAUAUGAAAAUGGUGAACUUGGUAAUAUGAUUCACAAUUUUUAUGAAUUUUGCAUUUUCACCCCUUUCAAAACAUGAUGUUUCAUGCGAAUUAUGAAUUUUACUUCGUCUUUUAAACAAUACAUGGUAAAAAUGAAAAAAAAAGUUUAAAUGACUCUUUCAAUGCCCUUGGAGGUUAUGUUUAUGACUUUUGAAAGCCCUUGGGGCUAUGGUUAUGGAUUUUAAGAUGAAUUUUAGAGUAAAAAAUGUUUUAGUGAAAAUGAUAUGACAUAAUAUGAAUUGUUUGCAAGUGUUAGUAUGAUGAUACCAAAUCAGACCAGACAAAUGCCAUUUCAAAUCAUAGACCAUGUUUGAGAAAUAUGCAUAUUUUAAAUGCUAAAAUAUGUGCUAAAAGAGAGUUAUGUGGAUAACCGAGAAGGCACGAGUUGUAAGACUCAUUGCUUGAAAUCGUAUUUUAUCGAUAUGGGAUUGAUUUUGUCCUAAAAUACGGAUGAUCAUUGUAUAUUUGCUUUAUGCUUUGGUAUACCAGAUCAGACACUUCAAUCCUUGCAGCAAACACAGAUUAGGGGCUUUAGUGAUAAGUUUAUAUCAGAUUCUGCAUAACUCGCGAGGUUUCUCAGACUAUGCUGGGUAUGCUACUUAGCUCAGAAUUAAAGAACAUCAGAAUUUUAUCUCAAAAAUCAACUUUUGAUUUGAAGUUUAUGUCUACAAGUUGAAUUGAUAUUUUGUGACCCCAUACUAUGAUUUGUACAAAUUAAAGUGUAAAAUGUCAUGUUUUAUGUUCCUUGUCUCAUGUCUCUUACUUUAUUAUUAUGGAUGAUGAAAUAAGUUAUACGACUGGUUUUAUAAAAGAAUGUUUCAUUUCUUUCCCCAGGUUGCAUGCUAGUACUUAAUGACGUCCAAGAUGCACCUCCUCUCAAAAGAUAAUACAGUCGCUGUCAAAUAUAGGAACUCAAUGAAGGUUGGGGUCUAAUCCCAAGGAAAUAUGUGGAUUAUAGAUGUUGUAAUCAACGGGCAAAAACUAGAAAAUUAAAUGGGGGGAUUCGAAUGGCAAUAUCGAACAAGAAGUAAAUAUCAACUUUGGUUGUGAUCAGUACUGGGGGACACUAGGAUUUUGUUCCCUCGGGCUUCUCAACUCUAUAGACUUAUCAUGCUUUGCUGAACCAACCCGAUACCUUGCAUACAGAAUCGAUAAGUUAUGUACUAUCUAUACUCUUUUGGAUAAGUAGACAGAUUUCACUCUUUACCUUUUGAGUUUCAGGGUGUCACAUUACUAACCCUUAUCUUGAUCCUAGUUAACUAUUACAUUUUGAGUCUCUAGUUACUUGAUGAAAUCUAUCUUACAUAGAUAAUACCUAAUAGAGUGGAUCGAUAGCUAAACUCCAAAUUACUGUUGUCAUUAUCUUUUCCUAGUCAUUACUCCUCUUUUGGAGUAAGUAGCAAUAAUUUAGGCAUGAUCUUUACAUUGGCCACCGUUAAAAAAUCCAUUGUAGUAAAGAUAAUGCAAUGCAUGCCAUGGGUAUCAUUCAAUUCAACAAUCACACUUUCCCUGCUUCGUCAAUUUGUUAGGAUUUCCACAACCCUAGAUAUGAGUCUUUUAGUCGUUCAUGCUUGUGAAGAAAUCAUUAACAUUCAGAAUUGAAAGUAUAGAUGGAAUCACAAUGAUAGGAAGUGUAAAAACCUAUAACCGUUACUGAAUUAAUCAACUGAAGCCAAUACAAGAGAAUCCCAAGAUCAAAAUUGAAUCUUGGAAUCAAAAUAUGUUUGUAUCAAAAGUGCGUAACUUCUACUAAAAAUCACAUUAAGGGUAUUUAUAGUACAGACGGAGACCCUAAAACCAAAGCCCGAAUGAAAUAGGAGAAAACAGUGUUGGUAGCCAUAUGUGGUUUGACCUUGUACCUUGACCCUGGGCGUAGGUAGUACCUGUGAUCAGCAGGGUGAGCGCAGGUACUGAAUGAAAAAAUCCUGCAAGUUAACACUCGAGAUUUUGGACUUUUGGCACUUGCUUUGCUUACUUGCAGUCCGUAGGUCCUACUUGUGGUCCGUAGGUUGACUUAGUAAGUUUCGAGAGUCAUCUUUUCAGCCCUUCUUCAAUACUCAAACAUGCUUUGAUCACGAAUAAGCCAAAAAGUGUCCCGAACAUCCAUAAUAGCUCCAAAAAGUAGCCAAAACACCUUUUUCAUGAUUUUAGCAUCCAAAACAUGAUUUCCUGCAAAACAUACUCAAAACGCAUCAUAUCUAACAAAAUAACCUCAAAAACUUGCAUAUUUUCUUCAUUUUAAGUGCCGAAAGUGCUAUAUUUCUAUAGCACAUCAGUAUUCGCUGUACUGACCAUCCCCAAAUGCUACAUCAUUUUAUGAUGUAGGUUUGGAGGCAUUUUUCUAUUAUUUUGUGCAGCAUUAGGGCUCUCAUAUCCUUGUUUCGACAACUGGUGAUAAGUGAUGAACCCUCCAUCAUCUGGAAGGCGAUUGUUCAUUUAAAUUAUGUCCCUAUUCUAUUAUUUUAGUUUUUAUGGUAUAAUUAGAGCCCCAUUUCAACUUAGGAGUAUUCUUAAAGUUAGAGGCUUCGUAGACGGUGUUUGGUAAUUUGUUUUGGACUUUGUUCUUAAGAUAUGAAUAUUACUUUAUUUAAAAUUUGAACUCCUUUUCUUAUGGGCUUGUUUCUGCAACUUUAGUUUUGACAAUGCUUAGGAUGUAAUGUUGAAGGGUUAUCUCGGUCCUUUACUGGUUUGGAAUAUGAUUUGAUUGUGCCACGGUUUGAAUUAUGACACAUAUAGAUUUGAUUGUGGGAAUGUGAUGGUGUUGGUAUGUGUGUGGAGGGUGGAGGAGGAUCAUUGUACAUUUCAUUAAGGAAAAAUAAUUUUUUUAACAUAAUAUAAUUUAAUAUGUUCGAACAAAAUAUUACGAUUUAAAAUACUUUCAGGCAUCAUGGUACGUAUACUAGUUUGUUUAAUAUAACGAAAGUUGUUUUUGUGGCAACCAACACUUUGUUUGGAAGGUGGUUUCUUUGGUAUGGUAUGGUAGGGAUGACAAUUGUGCGGGUUGAGCCAAAUUUAGGUGAGUCAAACUGGGUUAAGAUAAGAAACAGGUCAAGACCCAAUCCAACCUAAAGUUAUUUGGAUCAAAAUGGGUUGGGUUAAAAUGGGUUAUAAUCAAAUCCGCCCAAUUCUUACUAAGUUUUAAUUAUUUUCUUUUAUAAAUUUUUAGUAUCGAAUAAAAUUAACUAUUUUUUUUAUUAUGAUUAUAUAUAAUAUAUCAAAUAAAAAAAGUCUUUUAAAAAUAUUUUAACAAGAUUUGUUAAAAAUCAAUUUGAGUUAUCCUUAUUUGGGGUGGGGGGGUCCUAUUACCCCACGAAGUAAGUUUGAACUGAUACAAAUAUAUCCUUUUUCGAUAAAUCUCAAUUUUUAGAAAGAAAGUGUAAAUCACGCCUCAAUUAUUACUUGCAAAGUAUUAAAUUUAUUUUAUAUUAUUUUUUUCUUAUUUUAUUAGCUUAAGGUCUUUUUUUCCUUUCCUUCUCCGAUUGUUCAUGUCUAUUGAUAAUGCUCAACUCACGCCAUGAUUUAUGGGAAAGGCGGUCAUUGUCAAGUAUAUUAACCCAACGUGAGUUGGGGUUAAAUCCUUAACAAGUGGAAUUAUCCAUCUAAUCCUAUGGGUGUUAAUAGCUACAAAAGAGCCCGUAAUGUCUGACAAAAUGAAAUAGAUAAAUUAAAUUGGGGGGGGGGGCGUGCAUAUGGUUUGGAAAGUUAUUUUGCCAAAAUCAAAUAAACUACCAAUUUAAAGGAACAAAUAUGACUAAUAUUGUAAUAUGAGACAUGUCUUGGGAUUAUGUAUUCCUAGGGGCAAAUAAUGCAUGGGUUUAUGAUAAUCGAAUGCAAAUUCUCAUUGAUGACUACAUGGGUAGGCUAGGUUAGGGGUUCUUGAUUCUAGUUUGUCAAUCAAACCUCAAGAUUAUCACCAUGGAUCCUUUCGGAUACCUCGUAGAUGUGGCUAGCAAAAUCACCCAGUACCUCAAUUGGGCAUCCCUAUCUCUGGAAAGAUGGCCAACCCUAGCUAAAUCUCAAUCCACCCUUAUUUCUAAGAUAAUGAAAAGGGAAUAAGAUACAUCUACUAUUGUUCACUAAUGCCUUGUCUCCUAUAUCACUCUUUCAAAGAUGACAUAGGAUCCACAAUUAUACUCAUAUCUCUCUUUCAAGGAUGAUGUGAGUUUUGGGGAAAUUUGGGGUUUCCACCUAUAAAUUUAUUUUGGGAAUUUGGGGCUUUCACCCACAAAUCCCAACUCAAUCAAGCAAACAUUAGUGAAACCCAUCAUCAAUAACCAAGUAUCUACCCUAAUAAAUCACAACCCAUACAUAUUUUCACCUUAUUUCAACUUAAUCCCAAGAUAAAUGUUUAGUUACUUAUGAAGUUAAAGAAAAGAAAUAUACUAAAAGGAUCAUUUAAAUCUUCUAUGGAAAUUGAAACUAAAAGUAAUCCAAUAUCCAACUUCAAUUAAAACCAAAACUACUUGAGAAAUUAGCCACAAUAAAUUUCCCCAAUUUGGUAGGGUUUCAAAUUAUUCACAAAUUUAAUUCUAGUUGGAAAGAUACCCAAAAAAUGAAAGGUUUUUUGCUUUAUAAAGGAUUUGGGGUCUUGCAUACUUGAAAGGGAACUUCAUCAUCUUGGACCCAGAAUUUUAUUUCUCCUAACUUCAUAUCAACAAUAUCUCUUUCGGUUGCAAGGAAAGGAUGUCCAAAGAUAAUAGGUAUCUCUUGGUCAAUUUCACAGUCAAGCAUAACAAAGUCUGCCAGAAGAAUAAAAUGGUCCACCUUCGCCAAAACAUCAAACAAAACUCCAACCGGUCUCUUGAUAAACCGGUUCGUCAUUAGUAGCCUCAUUGGUGUUGGAGUAAGAGUGCCCAACCCAAGUCUCCGAUAGAUUGCAUAGGGCAUUAGAUUGAUGUUUGCACCAAGGUCAUACAAGGCUUUCUCAAACUUUUAUGUCCCUAUGGUACAAGGAUCGUAAAAGCCCCGGGAUCCUCUUUCUUCUCUACUAUAGCGCUAGUCAUGAUAUCACUACACCCAUGAGUAAUUUCUAUAGUUUCACCAUCAACAAGACGUUUCUUUGACAUUAACUUCUUCAUAAGCUUAGCAUAUCCCAGAAUCUCUUGAAUAACCUCUAUCAACGGGAUAUUAAUUGAUAGAUUGCUAAGAUUAGCAAGGAACAUCUCGAAUUUGGCAUUGUCCUCUUUCUUUCCGAGCCUUUGAAGGAAUGAGGGAGGAACCUUUAUGGCAAACAAUGGAUAAAUUUGUGAUUCAUCAUUCUUAACUACCCUCGAAUCUCUCUCUUCAUCAACCAUUUCUUCCAUUAUCAUUGGUUCUUUUUUAUUCCCUUCUCGAGACUUUGAAACCUCCUAAUUUGAAUUAACCACAUGUUUAUUCUUCAUAUUUGUUUGUUCAAUAUUGUCCUCUUUCUCAACUUCCACCAUAAUAUCACCUAGAGUAUUGUCACUCCUAGUAACAAUCAUCAAUACUUGGGCAUCUUUUUUUGGAUUCACAACGAUAUUACUAGGGCCUCCUUUUAGUCUAGCAUUAAGUUGAGUGAAGAUUUGGCCAAUUUGAGUCUCCAAUUACUUGAUUGAGGUAGAGUGUAAUACAACUGUUUGGUCGAUUUGCAAAAAAUUACAUUUCAAUUCUCGAACCAUCUUAUCCAUUUCCUUUACUCUCAUCAAGAUCCUUGCUAACACAUCCUCGGUCUUGAACUUUUUGGGAUAAUGAAAUUGGACUCUUUGCCCUUUACUCGAUCAUAGGGAGGCACAUAUCAAUCAUACUACCUUUCCUUGUCUCUUCAAUCACAAUCUCUAUACCUAUCACGCCAAUCCUGUUCUCUUUUAUGAUCGAUCCAACCUUGGUUCUUACUUUGCCUUUGAUAGGCUGGGGGGGGGGGGGGGGGAACUGGAUCACCCCCCCUGUUGUUUUUCUUUUUCUUUGGGGGGGGGGGGGGGGGGGGGGGGGAACCCACCUGAUAGUUAUCUAAAUACCGAAUUUAUUCAUAUAGCCUUUUGGCCUCUUCUUCAUCGUAGCCUUUGGAUGCCACGAAAUUUAUCAUUUUUGUGGAUGCACCCAUCAUAUGUUUUGUUAGAAACUCCAAUUGUGUCAUUAUUUUUGACAUAUUUUCCUCCCCUCUUCAUCUCUUUUCCUUUUCUCUUUAUCAACAUAGGUGGUGGUAGGAGACCCUUUAGCUACCUCGGUAUCUUGAGUAUGCCAUCCCCGAUCUUGCUUUGUGACUUCCUCAAGCAAGUUUAUAGCCAUAUUAUAAGACAACUUCACAAGUGAACCCCUAGAUGCAUUAUCCACUAUGGUUUUAUUUAGUUGAUCCAAAGCCCGGUAGAAGAUUUAGAGAAAUAUUUUCUCCGAGACCUCGUGGUUGGGACAUUGCAUAAGCUUUACAUUAAAUCUCUCUCAUACCUCAUAUAGAGAUUCUCCAUUAAAUUGAUGAAAAUUGGUAAUUUUAUCACGCAAUUACAAUAUCUUGGAUGAUGGGAAGUAUCAUUCUAAGAAUGCAACGGUAAGUUCAUCCCACGAUGUGAUUGACCCAGUGGAAAGAGAUCGUAGCCAUAAUACCGCCUCACCCAUUAGAGAAAACACAAAAAGGCACAACCGCAUGGACUCUUGUGACAUGUGAGCAAUGUAGAAGAAGUCACAAACUUCCACAAAAUUAUUUAAGUGCAAGUUGGGGUCUUCAUGAGCUUGCCCUCCAAAAAUACCUUUCAUUUGAAGCAUGUACAACACUAUUUGCAGGGCACUCGCACGUCCAAAAUCAUAUGGAAUACCCUAUUCCCUUGAUUAAGUGGGAUAUGGAUGGCACUCGCACGUCCAACAUCAUAGAGUUGCUCUUCAUCAUCAAGGGGCCCAUCAAAGGUCCCGACAUUAUUUGCAGGGUCACUCAUGGUGUCGUCGACACUAUUGAAAUCACCUAAAAAUAAAUAAAAACAACAACCAAAAUAAAUAACAACCACUACGGGUAAACCCAAAUCUACUAUCAACACCGCACAAGCAAAAACUAAGUUUCACUUUCCAACAACUGCGUCAUUUUGAUAAUGCCCAAUGUACUUCAUGAUUUAUGGGCAAGGCGAUCAUUGCCAAGUAUAUUAACCCAAUGUGAGUUGGGGUCGAAUCCUCAAGGAGUGGAAUUAGCCUUCUAAUCCUAUGGGUGUAAUAGAUACUAAAGAGAUACCCGUAAUGUAGACAAAAUAAAAUACACGAAUUAAAAUGUGGGGGGGGGGGAUUUAGUUUGGAAGGUUAUUUUACCCAAAUCAAAUCAAACUGCCAAUUCAAAGUAACAAAUAUGGCUAAGAUUUCAAUAUGAGAUAAGUCUUGGGAUUAUGUCUUACUAGGGGCAAAUAAUGCAUGGGUUCAUGACAAUCGAGUACAAAUUCUCGUUGAUGACUACAUGGGUAUUCUAGGUUAGCAGUUCUUGAUGCUCAUUUAUCAACCAAACCUCAAGAUUAUCACCCAUGGACCCUUUCGGAUACCUCAUAGAUAUGGCUAGCAAAAUCACCCAGUACCUCAAUUGGGCAUCCCUAUUUCUGGAAAGAUGCCCUAGACGUAGAUAAUUCUCAAUCCACUAUUAUUUCUAAGAUAAUGAAAAGGGAAUAAGAUAUAUCUACUAUUAUUCACUAAUGCCUUGUCUCCCAUAUCCCCCUUUCAAGGAUGAUAUAGGAUCCACAAUUAAACUUACAUCUCUCUUUCAAGGAUGAUGUAAGUUUUUGGAAAAUUUGAGGUUUUCACCCACAAAUCUAUUUUGGAAAUUUAGGGUUUUCACCCUUAAAUCCCAACUCAAUCAUGCAAGCAUUAGUGAAACCCAUCAUCAACAACUAAGAAUCUACCCUAAUAAAUCCUAACCCACACAUAUUUUCACCCUAUUUCAACUCAAUCUCAAGAUAAAUGUUUAGCUACUCAUUAAGUUAAAGGAAAGGAAUAUACCAAAAGGAUCAUUUAAAUUUUCAAUGGAAAUUGAAACUAAGAGUAAUCCAAUAUCCAACUUCAAUUACAACCAAAACUACUUGAGAAAUUAGCCACAAUAAGUUUCCCCAAUUUGGUAGGGUUUCAAAUUAUUCACAAAUUCAAUUCUAGUUAGAAGAUACCCAAAAAUGAAGGGGUUUUUGCUCUAUAAGGGAUUUGGAGUCGGUUCUAUGACAUUACAAAUCUGCCCCUUGGCACAAACCCGCGCUACCGCGAUCGCCCCAGCUUGAUUGCGAUCACGACUCCCGCAUUCAUGGUGAGUCCUUCGCAAUCGCUGGCCCUGAAUAAUCUUGGUUGGCCACAGUCGCAGCCCUCAGACUGAGAUCGCAAUAACUGAGGUCAGAUUCUGCUCUUGCUUUUCCAGUUCAUGCACUUCUUUUUCCUUUUUGAUCUAUUUUUAGCUCACUUCACUUUCAUCUCAUCACAUGUUUACCUGCAUUGUAUUUAGUGCAUUCAAAUGACAAAGGUGUCUUAUUCAUACCGUCAAAUCAUAGUAGUGUGCACACAUUUGAAUGUAAAUAAGUGGUAAAUUUAUCACUCAUCAUCUAUCAAACCUCAAUCAUUUUCUCCUUUUCGCUGAUAAUUCUUUAGUGUGAUCAUCAUUACCAUCACCCACAGCAUCAUCCCCAAUGUGUCUAUCACAAAAUCUCUGCCAAUUCAAAAUUAAAAUUAAAAAAUCAAUAUAUCAAAUUAAUUUUUUUAAAAUAAAAUUAUCACUAUCAAAAUCUUCUCUAUGUGAUCCGUCUUUGAAUUUUGCUCUAAAUCAGGUAGGUUGUGACUAAAUAUCUCUCUCAAAAAGCUAGAUGCUUCCUCAUUUUUGAAUUCCUAAAAUUCAAUUUAAUAAAUUUUGAAGAAUUAAUUGAAAUGUGUUGAUUUUUUAAGAAAAGUUUUUAAAGUUGAAAAAUAAAUCAAAGUGACAGCAGUAAAGAAAGGUGAAUAGAGUUGUAGAAAAAUUGGUGACACUAAAAUGACGAAGAAAAUGGCCAUGACAAAUGAUCUGUGAAGAAAAAAAAAAGGAAAAGAAAAAAAAUGAAUAAGAAAAAAAAAAUCAGCAAGAUAAUAGGAAAAUAAAUUUUAUAAGGAAAAUUUAGUAAAAAUAAAUUUAUAAUCGUUUUUGAGUUGUUCACUAUCUUAAAGAGAGUGCAUACACUUUUCGGGACAGGUGGAAAAAAAUGAAUAUAAUAAUAACACUUCAAAAUUAUUCAAUGAUGGUAAUAGGACACCUGCAAAUUUUAAGAGUCUUUUUACAAAUUUGAAACAACUUCAGUUGUAACUUUAUGUUUUUUCUUUUGAUUGUAACUACAAAACCCCCACUUUAUAAAAUCACUGAGUGGUGGUAUCCCAUGAUUUACUUAUUUCUUUUUUCAAUUACGCUCUUACUUAAAAUUACAUAAUCCUAUUUUACCUUUAUCCCAUAUUAUUUAAUUCCACCCUAAACCUACUCUAACCACCACUAGCCCCAUCCUACCCUCCAAAAAGAAAAAUUUUAUUUUAUGUUAUAAGAAAAUUCAAUUUUAUUUUCUUAUCCCACCCCUUACCAAAUUCUACCCCAAUUUUUUAAAUUUAUUUUAAUAAGAAAAAAAUCAAAACCUUUUUCUUACCCCACCAUCACCACCUACCCUUCGCAACAAUCAUUUUUUUAAUUCUUUAAAUUUAUUUUUCUUAAAUAUUUUUUUUAAAAAAAUAUUACCCCACCCCAACUCCCUACCAACUCUCCCCCACAAAAUAAAGAAUUAAUUUUUUAAAUUUAUCUUUUAAAAGAUAUUCAAAGAUUUUUUCUUACCCCACCCCCUAUCCCUACCCUGAACCCCAGUACUUGUAACAUAUACAAAAGAUGUAUUCAAACAUUGUACUUGUCAUUGGUGGUCACAUUUCAAAACACCCAAAAAAAAUUGUUACUAUAAAAAAUGACUUUGGUUAUAUUUAUUUUGAUCUACUCAUUUAUUGAUUUUGUUAGACUUUACAUGAAUUUACCAACUUAAAAAUGGCAUAAUUUGUGACAAAUUAGCAUGAAGAAAAUUAUCUUAAAUUAUUUUAUUAACAAUUAUUGAUAAUUUAACACUUAUAAUAAUUAAGGAAACUUUAGCGAACUUAUCAAUUAUGAUACAGUAUCACACCGGCCAAACCAACCAAUAAAACAAUUACCAAAAAACAGUAAAUGAUAAGUCUAUUCAAAUAUUGUAUUGUACUAUAUUGUACAGUACAAUACCAUACCUUAUCAUACAUUAUGAAACCAUAAAAAACCACCAUCCAAACAAGGUGUAAGGGUUGUUGUGGCAAUUUGGGCCGUCUCAACACUAUUAGGGCUCUAAAGCGAAAUUCUAAAGAGAGACUCUCUCUUUCUCUCUCUCUUUAUAUAUAUGUACAUGUACAUGUACAUAUGCAUCUGUAUAUGUAUAUGUAUGUAUGGAUGUAAAUUAAAAAAGAAAAGAUCGUCAUAUAUAUUUUAUCUAAAAUUCACUUUUUUAGCUUUUUUGAUUCGUCAUUGAUUUUUUUAUACCAAUUUAUUCUAAUAUUUUCUUUUCAAUUGAUAAUAUAGUUAAUUAAUUCAAUCUCUUCAAAUCUUCUCUCUCUUUUUUCAAAAUUGGAAUCAUAUCUUUUAAUCGACAUUUAAAUUGAAUAAAUUAUAAUAAUAACUAAAACAAUAAUAUGUACUUAUUAUGAACUAAGAAUAUCAAUAAUAACAAAAAACUACAAACUAAAGUUAGAAUUAUAAAGCAUCGCUCAAGAAUUUGAUAAGUUGGUAUUCAUAUAACCGCAUCGGAAUAGUCUCCUUCAGUUGCUUGUAAUUCUUGAAAUUUUGAAAAAGACACUAAAAAGUAAUUUUUGUUCUUUUGUAAUUGUAAGCAAGAACAUUAACUAAGUUGUCAGUAAAUUUCACAAAGUAAGAGAACACUCAAUAUUGAUAAUUAAAGAGAGAAUAGAAGGUUAUAGGAUAGAUGAAUAUAAGGUGACAAUAGUGUAGCCCAAGUUAUUAGGAGAUAAUGUAAUUAAGAAAAUUUAGUUCCACACAUGAAAAACUAUUCCCAAAAAUGAUAUUUCGUUAUCCUAAAACCAACAGUAGCCAUUUUAAAUAUUUAAUUCCUUAUCAAUUUUUUUAUUAAAGAAGAAUUUGUAAGUAAAUUUUUUUUUUUAAUAAACAAGUAUAAAUACAUUCUUUCAAAAAAAGAGGCCCCAAUUUCUUGGGAGCCGCAAGCGGUUGUUUUAAUGGCCUAGUGGCUAAGACGGACCUGAUGGCAACUAUGGAUUGUUUGGUUGCUGGUUACAGAGGAGUUAUCCAUGUAUUUUAAACUAACAUAACUUCUUUAUACAGAAGUUAUCGUGUAUUUUAAACUAACAUAACUUCUUUAUACAUUGUUCGUUACAAACAUGCGGGAAAAUAAUCUCACAUCAAAUCUAUCUUAAGUUGGAUAAUGUUUGGUUGUUUUCUAAACAUAAUAUUAGAUACAAUGUUUGGUUCAUGUUUUUCUUUUCCGCAUAAGAAAAGUGAAUUGUGAAGCUGCUUUGACAGGUCUCUAUAAAAUUACCACUUCUGAAUUGUGAUGCAUGAGCCAGCUUGUGGCUGCUAAUUCUGCGAGACGCAGCAUACCGAUUCAUCUCAUUAGUUUCUACUUUGUCUAUUGAAGUCAAGUUUCAUUCAAUUACUUACUAAUUAAUUGUUUUGACCAACUGUUUUUAUGUAAAUAGUGAAUAGAAAAACAGCAGGAGCUAGAAUAAAUAGUUCAGUAAUAAAUACAAGAAUAUUUACUUCCAUAAUCUCAUCAGUUUUUUUCUUCAUAAUAAUGAUCAUAUAAAAUUGCAAAGGACAAAUGAAAUGAAUGUAAGUGUAACCUCGCAUCUUGCAUCCAAUCAAUCUGGACUUUGUUGUGAAAAAACAGAAACAAAUAUGGACUAUAAGCCACAAGAGUUGCAGUUAAAAACAUGUUUUUUUUCAGCUCCAAGAAAAAGCCUUCUUUUGUCAAGUUCAAUACCAUCCAAUGAACACACCAGAGCUGCACUAAGCAUCAGAGGGGGUCAUCCAAAACCAUCAAGUGCAGAAGUAACUUUCUGAUAACAGAUAUUCAAUAUCUGUCUUUGUAAGUUGUUCCAUAAACGAUCAGGUAAGGUAUGGUUCGUACAACUGUGUCAAUCGGUAUGGCAAAGUUAACCCCUGAGGACAUACCCGAGCCUGCAACAUGAUUGAAAUCUCAAAAGCAGUUACAAAUUUCUUCAGAUUCUUUCUUUCUGAAACUAAGUUUCUGUAUAUAUAAAACAUUAGCAACUGAAAUGACUAUAAGACGGUCAAAUAUCUGGUAUAGUUUUACAGAUUCACCUGUCCAACUCUACAGCAUCAACAUGAGCCUUAAUUUCUUUCAGAUCACGUGAUUUUGCAGGACAUUACUAAAGGCUACGUUGCUCGAACUCUUCAAGACUGAAGCCGGGUGGAUGUUAAAUCCUCCAAAAAUAGUUCAUUGUUGGAGGAUCCAACACUGGUGCGGCAACAUUUUUGUAGAGUCCAAGCAACAUAGAUUACAGGUGCUUUAGUAAAAUCAUAAAAUGAUGUAACCUGUAGGCUAAUCAAGAUUUAAUAGGAAAUAUGUUAAUCAUUCUAGAAAUUUGUGUAAGUAGGCUUCCACAUACUUUGUCAUAGGCCAUCAGGGAAAAAGGUGGUGAACUACCUUUUGAUUAGGCUUAUCAGGGAACUUUCAGAUUUUGAUUAGACCUAAGAUAAUCCUAAAAGUUUGCAAUCAACCUACAAUUAAAUCUCUUUAGCAUACUUGUUUAAUUUCAAGAUUUUUCUUUAUACUUAUUUGGAGAAUAUUAUUGAUAUGGAUCAACUCCUUUCAAAUUCCCAUGGCAAUACGUUAUAUAUCACUUAUUAGUAUUUUAAUUAACACUGUUAUACAUUAUACGAUACGUGAAAAUGAGCAUAAAAGCAAGAAAGUCAAUUCACCAUAAACAGAGAUCCCUCAUUGUGAAACUAACCUUCAUCUAGCACAUUUCUGGAUCAAAGAUGAUCUAAAAGAAACCAGUUUGAAUUUUAUCAAACUUAAGACUAUAAAUUUGAUCAUCUAACUAUGGAUAAAUCCAGAUUAUUAAAAUUCCCGAGUAGUCAGUAGCAGUAAACUUUGAAGAUUCUAAUUUCUAACAAUCUACUCUCCUAAUUUGGAUUUAUUCUUGACAAACUCUUAGCAAUGAAUAACUUCUGAUCCUUCUUGAGGGGGUUCAUGAUAAAAUGCACAUCUUUUACACCUUGUUAUGAAAGGAUAGUCAACGAAUGUACAUGUUCUGACAUGCUUUAGAUCACUGAAUGCUAAUGUCAAAUAAUAAGCAGUUAUUUGACCUGCAUACAAAGUUUGACCAAAAAGUAUUUAAACGACAAUUGAUAAAAGUAGUUGAUUGUGCGUAUGUUCUGCAGUAUCAGUCUAUCAGGGUAGAGGGAAAAUGUCAUGACCUGUAUUAAUGGUCGCGUGAGAGACAUACAUUAGGGUCACGUGAGAGGCACGGGCAGUCCACUUCCAUAUAAACACAUUGAACUAUUGUGAAGGAGGAAAACGAAUUAUUUUGGUAAAAUCCCAACGAUCUUUUCCUCUCAUUCUCUCAUUUCUCUCUCUUCUUCCUAACUAUUUCUUCCUCCUCUCGACUAAUUCUAUCCCUAAUCGCCAUUGAAGGUGACAAUUGGAGCUUCCAUGGCGACUUAUCUCUCGUAGUAUCCAAUUCAAUUUAUCAAUUGUAAUAGCUAGUUUGUAUUGAAUUUGGAUUAGCAAUAAAAAUUCCCCUUUUGUGAUUUCAAUUUCUCUUUCAUUAUCGAUGUACAUAACAGAAAAGCUAAUAUAUUUUUCCGCGGGGAAGGACAGUAUUAGAUCCCAAAAAUUUAACAGUUACCUAAUACAUUUGCUUAGGAUACUGUUGAGAUGCUUGAUGAUUCAAUGUAGUGCAAAAUUUAAACAAUUAUAAUUUGGAAAAUGAGAAUAUAAUGAUCAAUGAUUUUACUUCUAUCCUGGUCAACAUAGAGCAGAAGAAUCAACAUGUUCUGUGUAAAGAUAAGAAGCAACUUGCUUUGAAUAAUGUCAGCAAGCAAUGAACCAGCAGAUGCAGACCUUCCAGCCUUCCAUUACAUCUAUUACCUCUUCAAAAUCACACUACAGAAUAUCCAAGAACAUACAAUUUCCCCGCAAAAAGCUCUCCAUGCCUACUCUUAGAAAGAACACUAUUUUCUUUAGUUUGGUAGUUCUCCCGACCGUAAGACACUCUAUAAGUAAGGUUAAUUGAAGGCCAGGGAAAGUUUAUUGGCAAGAGGGGAACCAUUUCUCACCCAGCCCUACCUACCCUAUGUAUUCGAGGGAGAGGCUGGAUCCAAAAAAGACCAGGUUCCACACACAUGGGACAUGCAAAAAGUAUGGGACGAGCAGUUUCUUGAAGAACAAAUUUGAUCCUAUACUCUCUUAAACAAAGGAUCACCAAUAAGAAAGAGGAGAAACAAAAGAUGAAUAUCAAAAAGUGUAUUCUUACAAAAGUUCCGGAAAAGUCUCAAGAGAUUUAUACUCGUCCAACAUUUCACCAAGUUGUUGAGGCUUCAGAAGCAUAAACCCACUCAAUAGGAAAAUGGACUAGGGAGAUUCUAUUCAGGAUUCCUCAUUAAUUAAUAUUUCUAUUAAAUAACAACAACAACAACAACAAACCCAGUGUAUUCCCACCUAGUGGGGUCUGGGGGGGGUAAGAUGUACGCAGUCCAUACCUCUACCUCUACCUCUGAAGAAGUAGAAAGGCUGUUUCCGAUAGACCCCCGGCUCGAGGCACGAGAUACCACACAAACACAUAGUAAAGCACAGAAGCAGAUUACAUAACAUAAAUACGGCACCCAUAAGUAAUAUAAAACAGAGGAGAUCAGAGGAAAGCACACAGAUUCGUAAUGAAACAUGGAACACGGAACACGGAAUCAUAACAGGAAUAAAAUCCCCACCAAGUAACUCCCUACACUAGUGACCCAAACUGGCCCUAGCCCUCUGCCGUAAUUCGCGUCCUCCAGACCUUCCUAUCUAGGGUCAUGUCCUCGGUGAGCUGUAACUGUUCCAUGUCCCGCCUAAUCACCUCACCCCAGUACUUCUUCGGCCUACCCCUACCCCGCCUAAAACCAUCCAACGCUAGCCUCUCACACCUACGGACCGGGGCAUCCAUGCCCCUCCUCUUCACGUGUCCGAACCAUCUCAAUCGUGCUUCCCGCAUCUUACACUCCACUGAAGUCACACCAACCUUCUCCCGGAUAGUCUCAUUCCGAACUCUAUCCCCUCGAGUCAGUCCACACAUCCAGCGCAACAUCCGCAUUUCUGCCACCUUCAUUCUUUGGAUGUGGGAGUUCUUAACUGGCCAACACUCCGCUCCAUACAACAAGGCCGGACGGACUACCACCCUGUAGAAUUUGCCUUUAAGCUUGGGCGGCACCUUCUUAUCACACAGCACCCCCGACGCGAGCUUCCACUUCAUCCAUCCCGCCCCAAUACGAUGCGAGACAUCCUCGUCAAUCUCACCGUUACUCUGGAUCACGGACCCAAGAUACUUGAAAUUAUCCCUCUUACAUACCUCCUGUUCUUCCAGCUUCACUACUACCUCAUUCUCCCGCCUCACGUCAUUAAACUUGCAUUCCACAUACUCUGUCUUGCUUCUGCUCACCCUGAACCCUUUAGACUCAAGAGUUUGCCUCCACACCUCUAAUUUGUCAUUCACACCCCCUCGAGUCUCAUCUAUCAAGACUACAUCGUCUGCAAAAAGCAUACACCACGGCACCUCCCCUUGAAUACGCCGCGUCAACACAUCCAUCACCAACGCAAACAAAAAGGGACUAAGAGUAGAUCCCUGAUGCAAUUCUGUCAGGACAGUGAAAUGCUCUGAGUCUCAAAAGUAAUGAAUUCUUACCUCUGCGGGUGAACGUUGCUGUAUUUACACCAAUUACAUGACCAGAUGAAUCAAUCAACGGGCCACCUGAAUUCCCUGCAUAAUUUACUAAAGGUCAAACUAAACCUUACUGUACAUGCAUAACUUGAUGAAUCAUGAGUUAUAAUCAAGUAAAAGUACUCUACUUUGACAGUUUCUACAGUUAGAAAUUGAACUUCACCCGCUAAAUCAAACUGGCAUUCAACCAUGUUGGUGUCCUCGUAUAAACCAGAUAAACAACCAUUUGACUGGCUCACAUCCCACUCAAACAAUUGAUAGUGCACAGCGGGUGACAAAAUUAGCCCAUGAAAACAUGAUCCCGCCAACCUGUCCAAAUCUGGGCUGGUCAUUUAUUAGCUCAGAUUAUCUAAAAGUUGGGCUGGAUAUGUAGCCUAAAUUGAUCUUGUUAAAAUAUUUUCAAAAACACUUCUUAUCUGAUGACUGAUAUGCUACAUAACGCCAUAAUAAAGAAAAAGAUAGUUUUUGCUAAGUACUAAAAUCUUAUAAAAGAACAAACAAUGAAACUAAAACUUAGUAUAAAUUGGGUCGGUUGGGCUAUGAUCCGCUUUUUAGCCCAUUUCAGCCCAACCCCAUCAUUUAUUAACACAACUCAUUUUGAAACACUUCAUAUCUGAUGACUGAUAUGCUACAUAACGCCAUAAUGAAGAAAAAGAUAGGUUUACUAAGUACCAAAAUCUUAUAAAAGAACAAUGAAACUAAAACAUAGUAUGAAUUGGGUCGGUUGGGUUAUGAUCCGCUGUUUAGCCCAUUUCAGCCCAACCCUGUCAUUUAUUAACACAACUCAUUUUGACUUGACUAUUUGACACCCCUACUUGUGCUAUUCACCAAAAUUUUCUCCCAAACAAUAAAAUAUUCUGUUGGAAAUAUCAAUUGAGUCGGUCCACCCAUAAGGGGUGUUGAAUAGCUUGUUAGCCCAUUAGUUUUUCCUCCUCCUUAAUCCGAAAACUAGUGCAUAAAUACACCAUUAUGGAUGUAGGAAAACUAAAGUUUUUCCACAUUAGAUGGCGAUUAUGAUUUACAAAAGAGAAAAACACUCUACAUCCCCCCAAGGAUAUCUAGGUUGUGAAUAAAGGGAGUUCAUCCACUUUGUGAGGAUUCCCGACGACCGGUGAUACGAGUGCUGGUUUGUUGCAGACCCGCUUUCGCUAUGGAGAAACCCGUACGUCUUCUAAAACUAGUAUUUCCCGAUUCACAAUACUAGAUAUCUUAUACAGGAAAACUAAAUAAAAAUGUUUACCGGCAUUAAUAGCAGCAUCUGUUUGAAUAGCUCCUUUAAUUGUAGCUCCAUUUGGUGCAGGUAUUUCCCUGCCUAAUCCACUAACUACCUGUAAUAUUUGAAGUAAUCAGAUAAACAGUAACAACUUAUUAUUUAUCUUUUUACCCUAUGACUAACUGUUUUUUUACCUUUCCCAUUUGCAUGGAGCAACAUGAGCAAACAAUUUAAAAAAUUCAUCAGUUUCAUGAUUUUGGUUCCCUUUUGACUAGGUAUGACUGAACUAUAAAGAGUUGAUAGUUUAAAACAUUUUUAGGAUACUGAGAGUAAAAAAAAACAAAAAGGCAGACCGGUGCACUAAAACUCCCGCUGUGCAGGGGUCCAAGUAAGGGUCAGACCACAACGAUAUUAAGAGUAUGAGUUGACUUUUCCUUAGUUUAUAUCAAAUGAAAACUAUACACAGCAAAAGGAGAGAGCUGCUUUUUAUUGAAAUGGAAACAUUUAACAUCCUUAGAGGAAAUCAAUAUUACAAGUUACAUAUAGAAUAGGUUUAACAGAAUGCAUGAAAAAUAGAUGCUAGAAGGGCUCUUCCCUGGAAAUGAAACCAUAAAUGAGUCUCCGCACGGGUAUAUUUCUUAACUGUAAAUAAACUGUAGAUAUGUAUUACCCCGGUUGUCAGAGUGUUUUCAAAUCCAUAGGGAUUUCCAAUGGCAAAACAACUUUGACCUACACGUAAGCCACGAGAGGUACCAACAGAGACUGGUUUUACUUCAACACCUUCAACAUCAACCUGCAGUUGGAUAAGAGACGAUUAAACCCAAGGAACUCUUUAACUGACCAGCUUCUAUAGAUAUCCGAAGUAGUUAUAUAACGCUAUUUUGCACAUAAUUUUUUAUUCAAGUUUUAGUACCCAUUCUCCUUUAACAGUUCAUUUUCACUAGAUCUAAUCUAAGAGAAGUAUUUUCGCUUGUCUCUAUAAAAUUGCUUUAUUGUUAAACGAGAGAAGCAAUGACAAAUAACAAUUGAGAUUUUGGAGCAGGAGGGGUUUUCGGUAACUGUAUGUCAACAACAAACAACCCCUCAGUCCACAAGGGUUUAAACUGUGGAAACAGCCUCCGACAGAGAUGCAACGUAAGGUUACGUACAAUAAAUCCUUGUGGUUCGGCCAUUCCCCAGACCUUGUAGAUAGUGGGAGCUUUAGGACACCAGACUGCCCUUUUUAUAUAAAUUUAUGAUACGGCCAAAAUACUCUUAGGAACGAUGGUGUGGAGGACACAAAUUAGGGUAGAAGGUUAGUAGGUAGGAGUGCAUCCACAUUAGUAGGAAGGAGUGCAUUGUCUUGUUGCCUUUACUCGUAGUCUUAGGACUACUCUUGUAGUUUCUCGUUUGUUGAUCUCUGAUAUUAUCUAUUGUUUCGUGUAGUUCGAAUGUUGCAUUAUUUGGUCAUAGUACUAUUUUGCUACUAUUUGUUACUAUCUAUUUUCUCUUCUACUUACAUUACGUCUUUCUAUAGUCUGUUUUAGUCUUGAGUCAGGAGUCUAUCAGAAGCAGCCUCGCUACCUUACGUUUGAGGUAGAGGUAAGGUCCGCGUCCACUCUACCCUCCCUUAGACCCCACUUUGUGGGACUACACUGGAUACAUUGUUGUCAAAAUACACUUAGAAAAGCAAUAGGUUCAAAAUCAACAUACUAAUUCCGACUCUGUGAGCUUGCUCAUACUGCUAGUCUCAAGCCCAGAUAAAGUAUGAGGGGUUGCAAUAGAUUGGCAGCCUAUGUAAAACUUGCCAACUCAUCAUGAAUCCUCAUAAUACAGACUUAAACUUGAAAACCUUGUAUAUAAUUUCUGAGGCGGGAAUGGGAUGCCUUAUGCUAAGUGCUUAAAACUUUUAUCAAAUUGAUCCCCAAUAAUUUCACCAGCAUAGGAUGAUGACGAUUCUGUCUCUACUCCACAGGUAGAAGUAGCAUCUUUUUACUUUAAGAUUUUGUUCCACAAUCGCUAAUGUAAGAUAUACACCAAAACUAAUAUUGUAACAUCAGUGCGCACUCAAAUAUUGUCAUAUAAAAUAGAAUGGAAGGAGUUAGAUAAUGUCCUGUUUGUCACAGUUUGCUUCAACUAACCAAUCUAUAAGGAGAAAUCUGGAUAGUUCUUCCAGAUAACUGAAUAAUCUGCAUCAUCAGUAUUUGCAUCAAGGUUUCUACAUGGAGAAGAAAGGACCUAAAGUUCACCAUCUAAGCUUUGCUGAUGAUGUUAUAAUCUUUUCUUCCAUAUCCAAGUUUUCUCUUCAGCUUGUCAUGAAGAUGUUGCAUAAAUAUGAGGAAUGACCAGGUCAGCUAAUCAAUAGGGAUAAGUGUCAUUUUAUGAUACGUGAGAAAUCACCAGAAGAUGCUAAGCUAUUGCUAGAGUGAUAGAUCUUACAGGAUUCACUUUGAAAGAAAGUCCUAUCACUUACCUUGGUUACGCAAUAUACGUUGGGGGUAGGAGGGUGAUUUAUAUUUCCAGCAUGAUCUCUGAAGUCCAGACCAAGAUUAAGGGCUGGGAAAUCAGAUUACUCAGUUAUGGAGGAAGGAUUGCAUUAAUCAAGUCUGUGUUACAGUCUCUUCCUGUACACAUUUUUUCUGCUAUGUCCCCCCUACAAAAACUACUCUCAAACAGAUCAAAAGCUUACAGCAGACUUCUUUUGGGGAUGGAAAAAGAAGAAGAAAUAUCACUGGGCUUCCUGGGAAACACUUAGUUUCCCUUGUGCUGAAGGAGGUGUUGGUGUAAGGCAAUUAGAAGACAUUUGUUUAGCUAUGCAGUAUAAGCAAUGGUGGAAUUUUAGAUCAAGAAAAUCUUUAUGGGUUGAUUUUCUGAGAUCUAAAUACUGUCAAAGAGCUAAUCCUGUGAUCAAAAAAUGGGCUAAAGGGCAAUCAUUGGUCUGAAAAUACAUGAUGCAGAACAAGGUGGAGGGUUGAGAAACAUAUUCAGUGGAUAUCAAUUCUGGCAAUUGUUGUUUUUGGGGGAAUGAUUGGCAGUGGAGGGCCUCUGGAUGCUCCCCCCGACGAUUUGGUGCAUAAGAUCCUUUAUACAUCAACUAAGUAUCAAGCAAAUAUACUCUUAGUAAUAGACAGAUUUGGAACAGACACAUCCGUUUUAAAGUGUCUUUUCUAGUUUGGAGGGCUCUCAGAAACAAACUACCUACGAUUGAUAAGAUCAUAACCUUUGGUCAGAAGGCUGCAGCUUGUAGUUGCUGUACUAAACCUGGUGUGGACACUAGUGAUCACUUAUUUGUGUCAGGCAGUUUUGCCAAUCAUCUUUGGAACAUCUUCUCCAACAGUUUGGGCAUUAGUCAUAAAACCAUGCCUUCAUCUAACCUACUGAUGAGAUGGUGGUGUGUAAAGCAUCAUACUGAAGUACACAGGCUGAUUCUACAAACUCUUCCUAGCUUCUUGUGCUGGAAUCUGUGGAAGAACAGAUGUGCAAACAAGUAUGGAGGUAAGAAGUCUAGCAGUGCUAGAGUCAGAUUUGCCGUUGUGAAGGACAUCCAUAUGCAAUGCUCUACUGCAGUUCCCUAUAUUUCCUGGCCACUUGACUGGAGGGUGCUGAUUCAGCAAAUGGAGAAAUGCCAACACGAGGUGAAAGUAAUACAGGUCUGUUGGACUAAGCCUGCUCACACUCGGGUCAAACUCAAUACAGAUGGUAGUGCUUUAAAUAAUCCAGGUAAGUAUAGGGGCUGGAGGGAUACUGAGGGAUCAUGUGGGCAGUUUAAUCUAUGCAUUUGCAGCUCCUUUGGGGAUUGGAACUAAUAAUCAAGCAGAAUUGCAGGCAGCCAUCAUAGGCAUCACCUGGUGUAUUCAGCAUGGAUAUAGUAGGGUGGUAUUGGAGGUUAAUUUUCAGCUCCUAGUUAAGUGGUUGAAAGCAGACAGUCAUCCUCCUUGGAGUAUUCAUAAAUACAUUGUGGAAUUACAAGAGCUAGUACUUUCACUUGAAUCUUUCCAAUGUCAACACAUCUAUAGGGAGGCCAACUUUACUGCUGAUGCUCUCUCUAAACAGAGUCAUCUGGUUGCUGAUGUACAACAAUAUUACUCUGCUCAACAACUUCCUGAGGAAGCUAAAGGAUACUUCAGAUUGGACAAGAUGGGAAUGUCAAGCUUCAGAAGAAAGAAAAAGAGAGCAUUAAAAUACCGCCACAGGUUGCUGAUCUUAAGUGGUCUGAUGCAGGACAAGCACUGAAUAGAUACUCAUCUAGCUUACUAUUGUACCAUUCUUUAUAUCUAGUUCUUUAGCAAGUUUAGUUACUAGGUACUGCUUAGUAUGGGAAAGUGCUGGUAUUCCUUAGUAGGUUCACUGACUCUAGUACCACCUUAAGGUGUUUGGAGGUAAGGUUUUAUGUCCCCCUCCCUUGUACUGAUUUUCUCUUUGAUUAAUAAAAAUUGUUUUUUGUUUAAAAAAAAAUAAUUAUCAGUAUAAAUCCGACCAACAUUAUUUAAGUAAUAUAUUGAUUUAGCACCUUGAGAACAGCCAGAUCAUAUGCUGGAUCAACACCUAUGAUCUUCGCUUCCUUAGCUAUGCUUUCUCCUUUAGCAUUCACCAAAGAAACCUGAAAAGGAAACCUUUAAAUUAGCAUCAUCUGAAUGAAGCAGUCCUGUUAAACAUCCAGAUAAGAACUGAAAACAAAGGGAUAUAAAACACCAGGAAUGCAGAAAACCUUACAACGCUGCAGUCCACUGCUAUCAGUAGCUAAUUUAGCAAUGACAUGGUAAUUGGUUACCUGCGAUAAACCCAAAAUAAUCAUGCCCCAUGCGCCGUGAACUGUCUUAUUUCAGAAUUAUACGUCUAUUGUAUUUGUUCAGUACUGAAACAAAUUUACAGAAAAUUCAAAGCAAGAUUUGAAGCAGGGUUAUUUGAACGAGAUAACCGAAUUUCAACCGUGUGAAAACUUUGCAGGCAAGAAACAAAAAACCACUGGAAUCCUAAAUUCAAGUCUUACACCAGGCAUUUAACUUUCUUGAGAUAAGCAGGAGAAAAUUCAUCCAGUUAACAUGGAACAUUCAGAUAUGCAUUGCGAAUUUGAAAAUACUUAAAGUCAUAAAAUCGUACAAUGUGACCAAACUUAUCCCAUAUGAAGCCCGAACCUGUCCCUUGCACUUUUGCAUUCUCAUCGUUGGCUAGCACCUUAGUAGAGUCAUUGGAGCCUUUAGCCAGCUCAAGGUCCUUAAUGAAAACAACAGAAGGGGAAGUUUCCUGCAUUUGCAUCAUUAGUUCUGUUACUACAUUUCGAACUGUUAAACUUACCAAUAAAUAAACUUGAUAAGGCAAAGAUGAAGAUUUGGUGUUUUCAUUCUAUUGUUGUUGCAAAAAUAUUUUUGGAAGAUUUAUUCAUGACCUUACUAAGAAACAUUUAAAUUUCUAUAGGUCUGAUUUACGCCUUCUUACUGAUAUUGAACUAUAUUAACUUUCUGGGGAGCAACACACCACUGCAAAGGGCUUAGGACGAUCUUAUUAUUCAACCUAUCAGUCCACUUAGAUGUCCAGUACUAAUUAUCUUGGAAAUGCCGCAAAUGUCAGUUUGGUUAUUUGUUUCCUUCGUAGUAUAGUUGGGAAAGGAUGAGAAACCUUACAUCAGUUAAGCAAUCUGAAGAUACUGCAAACUGAGGAAAACAUUUUAGAUUACAUAAUUAUAGGAACUUCAUAUGUGUUUCAUUUACUCUUACAUGAAUCCUUAGUCAUUCAAGGUGGGAGCAACGUUCUUCAGAAUAACGCGGAAAUUAUCUGAUCAGAACAAAGUCAAUUCUUUUCUACAUCUUCUAAUCAGUGACAUGAGACACGUGUCUUUCAAAUACAACAAGAUUUUGACAAGGUUAACAAUGGCUGCAAAGUAAGCAUACACGUCACAACUAACAGUCACACUAAUACUCAAGUCCAACAGUAUAUUAUCCUAACGAAGAUACCUGACUCACAAAGUUCAGUUAAUACACUACUAAAAACAAAGGCUUUUCCCACCUCGAAUUAAUGGGAAAUUUAUGUUAUUAAACAUGAUUUUCCCACUCCAUUCCCACCGAAACAGCUCACACGAAAACGCAUGGUUGGAAACAGAUUCUCAUUGAAAUAUUGAGAAACCUCCUAAUUUUUCAGUGUGAAACACUACUAUUUUUUCUUUUCUCAUUGUGGAAACAGCCGCUGAACAUUUUUUUAAUGGGAAAUUCCAAUGGGAAAUAGUGAGUUUUUAGUAGUGAUAUAUAAAGGCUUCUUACUUCAAGACAUCCAAUUUUCAAUCUUCACUUUCCAUACACUAGCAAAUGGUCUGGGGAUUAACUUUGUAGGCUUAAACCAGACGAGGGUAAAUUGAUAAUCAUUAAUUCCUUUUUAUAUGACAGCAGUCUAUGUUUUAUAUUAGUUAUAAUGAAAGACCCAUAGUAUUUAUUCAAAAGUUAGUUUGAUAAGCUUUACAUUGAAGUUUAAUAAAUUUGAAUCACUGAAAGUUGCAUAAAAAUAGAAUAGUUCAGUUGUUCAAACAUUUUUGCAUCGUUCAAGACUGUUACAUAAAUUGAGAUGAGGGGAACAACAUUUACUUGAUAUAGGGCUGUAAAGUAUUUUUGACUCUUCUCAGUACAAAAUGGUUCUUAGUAGUGCUAAUCAAAUUGUUCCAGGUUCCUACUCCAAUUGAAAGAAAUGGUUUUAUUCACCGGUUCAAUUUUUUCAACAAUAGAACACAAAAAGAUCCAAAUUGGCAACAUAGUUCAUCGUUAAUUUUUUCUGCAUUUGGGCUAUAUACUAAAUAACUAAUCCACAAGCACACAAGGGUGGAGCAGAACAUCGGUCCCAGUUUCAAAUUCAAAUAGAGACAAAAACAUGUUUUUUUUUUUUGUUUUUGUGUUCGUGGAAAACACCAAAUAACACAAGAAAUUAGUCUAGGUGCAUGCAAAUUGACCGGAUAUCAAGAUUAUCCAAACAAAAGUACUACCUUCAUCUAUUUUUACUUGUUCAUUAUACUAAUUAAAAACAAGUGUUCCUUUUUACUUGUCCAAUUUAAAGAACCAAAGAGAUAAUUUAUUAUUUUAUAUCUAUUUUACCUUUAUUAUAAGAAAUACUCAUUUCUUUCAAUAAUUAUGGUUGAAAUAGUAUUAUUACUUCUUUUAUUUCAAUUUAGAGAAAAUGAUCAAACGUUCCCCCAACCUUUACCCCAAAUCCAACUACACACCUAUACUUUACGGGGGUCUUAUGACCCCCUGAACUAUUUUAAAGUGGAAUUAUUACCUCCGAAAACUGACAUGGCUAGAGAGUGAAUUUCACUCUCUUUAAAGAGAGUGAGAACGUAAAUUAUUUAUUAAAAAUUUAUUUUUAAUAUUUUUUUAUUUUCUUUAUUCAAUUUUAAUUAUUCUUUUUCUUUAUUCAUUUUCCUUUCCCUUCCCUUCCUCUUCAUUCUCACAAACAAAAACUUCAAGAACUCAUCAAUGGCAUCCAAGAUUAAUUUAUCAUCUUCCUCAUCUCCAAGCACAAAAUCGAUUGGUUCCGACUUAAAGUUCGUUGAAAAUUUCAAAAUGGGUAUUGUUCCUUAUUUUCAACUUCAAGAUCUUCGGAAAUUUCAAAAUCGAUAUUGUCCAUUAUUUUCGACCUCAAGGUCGUCGUAAAUUUUAAAAUGGGUAUUGUCCAUUCUUUCCGACUUCCAAGUCGUCGAAAAUUUCAAAAUUCUUUAUUGUUUCCGACUUUAAGGUCAUCGAAAAUUUUAAAUUUGGUAUUGUUCAUUGUUUCCGGCUUCAAGGUCGUCGGAAAUUUUGAAAUUGAUAUUGUUCGUUGUUUCCGGAUUUAAGAUAGUCGGAAAUUUAAUAACUGAUAUUGUUCAUUGUUUCCCACUUCAAGGUUGUCGAAAAUUUUAAAUUCGAUGUCGUUUAUUAUUUCCGACUUCAAGAUCGUCAGAAUUUCAAAAUCGAUAUUAUCCAAUAUUUCCGACUUCAAGGUCAUCGUAAAUUUUAAAAUGAGUAUUGCCCAUUGUUUCCGACUUCAAGGUCGUUGAAAAUUUCAAAAUUUCUCAAUUGUUUCCGACUUUAAGGUCAUCGAAAAAUUUUAAUUUGGUAUUGUUCAUUGUCGGAGGGGGACAGAGCUAUUGUGUUAGGGGAACUGGAGCACUCAGAGGAGUGUCGGGAUUUUAGCUAUUGUAGACGUUUUAAGGUAGAAGAGGUUAGACAGACAGUCCGCAGGAUGCGUAGGGGUAGGGCGACGGGGCCGGAUGAGAUACCGGUGGAGUUUUGGAAGUUCGUUGGAGAGGCUGGUAUAAAGUGGUUGACUGGAUUGUUUAAUGAAAUUUUCAGGACGGCAAAGAUGCCCGAGGCGUGGAGGUGGAGUACCAUGAUCCCUCUCUAUAAGAAUAAGGGGGACAUUCAGAGUUGUAAUAACUAUAGGGGGAUUAAGUUAUUGAGUCACUCUAUGAAGAUCUGGGAGAGAGUGGUCGAGGUGAGGCUGAGACGGAUAGUGUCUAUCUCGGAAAACCAGUUCGGAUUUAUGCCCGGCCGCUCGACGACGGAGGCAAUCCACCUGGUACGGAGGUUGGCGGAGCAGUAUAGGGAAAGGAAGAAGGAUCUGCACAUGGUGUUCAUCGACCUGGAAAAGGCGUACGACAAAGUCCCCAGGGAAGUGCUUUGGAGAUGCUUGGAGGUGAGGGGAGUACCGCAGGCAUAUAUCAGAGUAAUUAAGGAUAUGUAUGAGGGAGCGAAAACCCAGGUGAGGACGGCGGGAGGAGACUCAGAGCAUUUCACUGUCCUGACAGGAUUGCACCAGGGAUCUACUCUUAGUCCCUUUUUGUUUGCGUUAGUAAUGGAUGUGUUGACGCGGCGUAUCCAAGGGGAGGUGCCGUGGUGUAUGCUUUUUGCAGACGAUGUAGUCCUGAUAGAUGAGACUCGAGGGGGUGUGAAUGACAAAUUAGAGUUGUGGAGGCAAACUCUGGAGUCUAAAGGGUUCAGGGUGAGCAGAACCAAGACAGAGUAUGUGGAAUGUAAGUUUAAUGACGUGAGGCGGGAGAAUGAGGUAGUAGUGAGGCUAGAAGCACAGGAGGUAGGGAAGAGGGAUAAGUUCAAGUAUCUCGGGUCCGUGAUCCAGAGUAACGGUGAGAUUGACGAGGAUGUCUCGCACCGUAUUGGGGCGGGAUGGAUGAAGUGGAAACUCGCAUCGGGGGUGCUGUGUGAUAAGAAGGUGCCGCCCAAGCUUAAAGGCAAAUUCUAUAGGGUGGUAGUCCGUCCGGCCUUGCUGUAUGGAGCGGAGUGUUGGCCAGUUAAGAACUCCCACAUCCAAAAAAUGAAGGUGGCAGAAAUGCGGAUGUUGCGCUGGAUGUGUGGACUGACCCGAGGGGAUAGAGUUCGGAAUGAGACUAUCCGGGAGAAGGUUGGUGUGACUUCAGUGGAGUGUAAGAUGCGGGAAGCACGAUUGAGAUGGUUCGGACACGUGAAGAGGAGGGGCACGGAUGCCCCGGUCCGUAGGUGUGAGAGGCUAGCGUUGGAUGGUUUUAGACGGGGUAGGGGUAGACCGAAGAAGUACUGGGGUGAGGUGAUUAGGCGGGACAUGGAACAGUUACAGCUCACCGAGGACAUGACCCUAGAUAGGAAGGUCUGGAAGUGGGGGUUUUUUAAUUUUUUAUUUUUUAUUCCCGUUAUGAUUCCGUAUUCAGUGUUCCAUGCUUAUUACGAAUCUGUGUGCUUUCCUCUGCUUUCCUCUGUUUUAAAAUCCUUAUGGGUGCCGUAUUUAUGUUAUGUUAUGUCAUCUGCUUCUGUGCUUUACUAUGUGUUUGUGUGAUAUCUUGUGCCUUGAGCCGGGGGUCUUCCGGAAACAGCCUUUCUACUUCAUCAGAGGUAGAGGUAUGGACUGCGUACAUCUUACCCCCCAGACCCCACUAAGUGGGAAUACACUGGGUUUGUUGUUGUUGUUGUUGGUAUUGUUCAUUGUUUCCGGCUUCAAGGUCGUCGAAAAUUUUGAAAUUAGUAUCGUUCGUUGUUUCCGGAUUUAAGAUCGUCGGAAAUUUAAUAAUGACAUUGUUCAUUGUUUCCCACUUCAAGGUUGUAGAAAAUUUCAAAUUCGAUGUUGUUUAUUAUUUCCGACUUCAAAAUCAUUGGAAAUUUCAAAUUCGAUAUUAUCCAUUAUUUUCCACUUCAAGUUCAUUGAAAAAUUGUUCAAGUUUGAAAAGGAAAAGAGAUGAAAAGUAAUGGUGAAAAAAUGAUAAAAAGUGAUAAAAAUGGGGAAUAAAGUAAAUAAAAAUUAAUUUUAAAUAAAAAAUAUGUGUAAAAAUGUUGUAGGUGCGUGCAUCAUAUCAAAUUCCAAAUGACUGGUUGUCAGUUUUUGGGUAAUAAUUUCACUUUAAAAUAGUUCAGGGGUCAUAGACCCCGCAAAGUAUAAGUGUAUAGUUGAGAUUUAGGAUAAAGGUUGGGGGAACUUUUGGCCCUUUUCUUUUCAAUUUAUGUGGCAUCAUAGAAUUUUCAAAAGUUAAACAAUUUAGUUUUGACCGUGAGUUUAGGCAUGGAUUCUUUAUCUUUUUGAGAUAAAAUUUAUAUAUUUAUAAACUACAUAAAAUUAUAUAAGACACAAUAAUUGAUAAUCUAAAAUAUUUAAAAGACAUGAAAAAGCUACGUGGAGAAAAGACUUAUUUGAAUCUCUAAAUGGAAAGGUGACACAAAAAUUAGGAUGGAGAAAGUACAGGUACACAUCGGAAUGAGAAGGACAAUAAUUGGGUUUUCUUGUUGUAUUUAAUUUUAGCCAUUUUGGGUGAGGCAUUUACCUGAAAGAGUUGAACAAGUGUAUCUUCUUCUUGUUGAGGCUGAUCGAUUACGAAAGCAGUAGCAGGAGAGUGAUGAGAUGUAUAUAUUAAAGAGGAAAGCAGAGAAGCAAAUAUCAAAGAUUUACGCCUUGUCAAAUAUUGAGGGGAAGAAGAAAGAGCUGGAAGAGGAGAAUGGGACAUUUGUGUUGGAAGUGAAAGGAGGAUACGCUGCGGAGAAACAGAUCCCAACACCACCAUCGCUGCGACUGCCGCCUCCUCAACAAAUUACUUGCACACAUGACACUAGUGACUUCAAAUGAGAUAAACCUACGUGGCAAUUUUUCUUUUCUUUCUUCUUUGUUGUCUUUAAAUUUAGAGAUUUCUACCCAACCACGCACUAAGGGUUAAUUUGGUACGAUGCAACUUUUUUUUAAAAAAAUAAUGUUCUCCUGUGUAUUAAUUUUGAGUAUUAUUAAUGUCUUCUUUAAUAUAUUUUAUCAACUUAUAUAGAAUCAAAUAUAUUUUAUAUUAUGUUAUGUAUAAUUAACGAAUGACACCUUAUGACAUGGAGCAACUUCAGCUUAUCGAAGACAUGAUCUUAGAUAGAAAGUUGUGGAGGAGGCGGAUUAGGGUAGAAGGUUAGUACAAGUUUAGGUUGUUGUUUCUUUUGUUGUAUUACUUGGUGUCUCUUGAUUAUGGUAUUAGCGGAUAUUGUUGAUUUCGAUUGUAUCUUGUUCUCUUACUAUUCUUUGUACAGAUUAUUUUAUUGUGAGCCGGGGGUCUGUCGGAAACAAUCUUUUUAUCUUACAUCUGAGAUAGUGAUACGGACUGCGUACAUUUAUCCUCUCUAUACUCCACUUGGUGGAAAUAUACUGGUACGUUGUUAUUGUUGUUAUGAAAUACAUAAGCAGCCCCAUGAAUUUGUUGGGUUUUUUUUUGUGUUGGCACCCUAAUUAGUCCAUGUUCCUAUUGAACAUCUGAACCUCUCAUAAAGCGUGUCACUCAAAUACAAUCGUUUGACCUGACACAUCUUUUGAGCUUCCGUUUGUUAUGAGUUAUGUGCGUGAAAUCAAACUCGUCCCACGUGAAAAUUUCGACCAAUCAAAACACCGCAUCUAUUUUUAUUUUACACUAUCUUUUAAAAAGAAAAUCCAAAAUUACAACAACUUUUUGUUCAUUUUCUAACCCAUCCUCCUAAAAACGUUAUUGACAAAGAAAAUCCUAGAGCAUAAUUGCAUUAGUUCUUGCAAUAAACGAUAUAUUUAUGUUACUAACAAAGAAAAUCCUACAACUUUGUUAACUUUAUUUCUAAAGAGUAGAAUUAUCACUCAAAAUUGGAAUUGAUCUUUAAAAAGAAACUUGAGUCUUAAGUUGACCUUGGCGAAAUAUCCAUAAUUGCAGCUUUAUUAGAAUUCUGAUUAUUGAACAUGUAUAUGGCAGGCUCAAUUCCAAGAUCAACAACACUGUUUGGAUCUUCAAAUUUGUUAGCGAAUUUGGUGAAUUUGGUGUUCAAAUGGAAAGACUGAUCAAUAAUAUCUUGUAUGGCCCCUCACUUCAUCCAUUUUCAUAAGCAAUAAAGAGAUGAUACUUAAUGGAUCUUUUCUGUUCUUGAAUUUAGAGUCAAAAGUUUCGUAGAUGGGGAAUAAAUAUAUAUUUUUAACUAACAUCAAUAUAGGUCUAUUGAUACAAGCCGAAUUGACUCCACUUUUUUGGGGUCUAUGCUUCAAGGAUCACACGUAAGGAUCCAAGACUUGAUCGUUCUAGGGAGCAUAUACGUGAUUGGAGGAUAGCUUGAGAAGGAGCUACAUUUGAUGAUGUCAUUCGAGGGAGUAAGGAUCACAUUUGGAUAAUAGCUUGGACCUCAAAGAGCUUAGAAAUGUGACUAUUUGGACUUUUGGGUCACUUUUGAGCCCAUAAUCGUGAAUAUUUGAUUUUUGGAUCACUUUUGGACCCAAUUAGCAUUUAGGGCCACUUUUGAGCCCAGUUGUAAUAAAUGGCCUUGGCCAAUAAAUAGCUAGGACUCUUUUCAUUUUUAGGAAGAUGAUUUUGAAUGAAUGUAUACACUUGAGAGUGUUUUAUUGAGCUUGUUGGGAGCUUUAUGGAUUGUUGAGAAAUGUGGGUUGCUCGGAAUUCCAUUCCCGUGAGGUCCUCGUUAGAGGUUGGUGCUUGUGGUAAUCGAUAGGAAGGUCUUAGGGUUUGAUAUACCCUUUGGUUUUCCUCUCUUUAUCUCUUUAUGUCAAUCUAUCUAUCUUUCUUUUUACCCUCGUCUUAUUUCGUUUCCACUAUUUUCUUGUGUUUGUGUGUUGUUUUUUUCUUUUCGUAUUUAACUCUUAUAUCAUUUGAUACGAGAGUCGAGCUUGAUUUCAUUUCCACAAAGUCAAUCUUGGGGAUAUUUGUGUUGAAAAAUAAAAAAUCUCCAAAAAAAACUACUAUUCACGUUUUGGCCCUAGGUCAAAUUUUGAGUCUUCAAUUUUGUUGUUUUCUUGUGUUUUUAGAGUUAGAUUCUUGUUCCCUAACAUUAUUAGAGUCUAAAUAUCGAAUUUGAGCUUCAUCAAAGCUAUUUUGAAGAUUCUACCAUUGUUGAAAAACUAAAGUUUGAAGAUUGGAAGUAGGUGUUGAAAUCUGAAUUUUUUGGUUAAGAAUUUGAUCAAAAUGAGGCGUGGAAUGCGAUUAGAAGUUGGAAAAGAACUUAGGUUCAAAAUAUCAUCGCAUUCCGAGCAAGGGUUGAAGAGUUAGAGAUUUUUGAGUUCUUGGAGAGAUUCAAAUCUUCAUCUUGAAUUUUCUUCAGAAAGUUGGUGUUGGAUCCUAAAAAAAGAAGAAAAAGGUGUGAAAAAGUGUUAGUACAAAGCACCUUUUGAAGAUUCUAAAGAAUAUUUCAAAAAGAGGACAAAAGGGGGGGACCAUUUAAGGUACAAAGGUACAACUGCAAGCUAUGGGGCAGGUCAUGUCCGGCUGACCUGCGCUGGAAGUGUGCCUGAUUUUCUGCAGCACCCCAGACGCAUGUCAAAAUAGUGAGCAAAUAACCAGCUGCGUCCAACCUACCCUCAACCUGCGCCCAACAUACUGCCACAUUUCAAAACAGUCCACUUGCUCUUUGGCUUGCGUUUAAGGUGCGCCAAGGCUACCUAGUACAUUUCCAAAGCACCUCCAACUUUUUCCAUUUCCACCUUCAAAAACUCCAUCUACUUAGGUUCAAUCCAUUAAAUUCACCUCUUAAUUCCUCCUUUCAAUUCUUGAUACUACUUAACAACUAAAACUUAAUCUACUUAGUUGUUUAAUUAGUUUUUGUCCGUUCUUCUUUCGUGACUUAAUUCCUUAUGCUUUUUUUUUUAAUUUCUUUUCCUUAGUUUGACUUUUGAAUUCAAGUUUUACAAGUCUCUCACCACUUAAUUGAGUCAUAUACCUACACAAACAAUCAAGGCUAAUAAGUAAGCUAAUUGUGAGCCAUCCAAGCACUUGAAUUGAGAAAGUUGAUUUCACUAACACCAACCUUGUUUGUUAGUCGUGUUGAGUGUCUUGUUGAUAGGUACCAUGGCAUCGGGAGAUGACAUCCAAUCUAUCCUAAGCAGGGAAAAUUUUGAUACUCUUUGGGAAGCUAUCAUGGGAAUACAACGAAGUAUGGAUAAAAUGAGUUGAACUAUGACAUGUAUUGAAGAUAAGUUGGCAAACAUGGAGAACCGAUCCCUUAACCAAACAAUCGUCACUAUGCCGAGGUUCAUCCAUCAAAAUUGUGCCCCAAGACCUCAAGAGCAUGUUCCCUCAUCCCAAUCCAAUAUAAACUAAGCUCUAUAAAAUAUUGUGCAACCACUCCAAAUCCCUUUAUACAAAGACCCUUUCCUUCUUAGGUCCACUAACCACGAUACUAGCAUUUUGCCUAGUAUCACUCCUUCCUCUGUGCAGGUUCAUGAACAAACAACUUCAAAAGAAGAUGCAAGGAGAGUGUCUUAUGAAAAUGAGCUUAAAGGACUAACAGAGUGCUUACCAAAGAAUUCCAAGCUUGGAAAGUAUGAUGACAAGUCGAUAAAAGUGUUAGAUAUGAAGAUGAAUACGUUUCAAGAAAGGGAGAAUGAUACAAGCCAAAUUGAUGCCACUCUUUUGGGGUUUAUGCUUUAAGGAUCACACGUAAGGAUCCAAGACUUGGUCGUUCUAGGGAGCAUAUACGUGAUUGGAGGAUAGCUUGGGAAGGAGCUAUAUUUAAUGAUGUCAUUUGAGGGAGUAAGGAGCAACAUCGUAUUUGGAUAAUAGCUUGGACCUCAGAGAAUAUAGGAAUGUGGAUAUUUGGACAUUUGGGUCACUUUUGGGCCCAUAAUCAUGAAUAUUUGACUUUAGGUCCCAAGUAGCAUUUAAGAUCACUUUUGGGCCCAAUUGUAAUAAAUGACUUUGACCUAUAAAUAGUUAGGGCUCUCUUCAUUUUUAGGAAGAUAAUUUUGAAUGAAUGUAUACACUUGACACUGUUUUAUUGAUUUUGAAUUAAUGUAUACACUUGACACUGUUUUAUUGAAGCUUGUUGGGAGCUUUGUGAAUUGUUGAGAAACGUGGGUUGCUCGGAAUUUCAUUCCCGUGAGGUCCUCGUAAGAGGUCGGUGAUUCUGGCAAGUUGAUAGAAAGGUCUUAGGGUUUGAUAUACCCUUUGAUUGUCCUCUCUUUAUCUCUUUGUGUCAAUCUAUUUAUCUUUCCUUUUAUCCUUGUCUUUUUUUGUUUCCAUUGUUUCCUUAUGGUUUGUGUGUUGUCUUUUCUUUCGUAUUUUACUCCUGUAUCAUCUGUGAAAUUGAUACCAACUCACCUUUGAAGACAUAUAUUAGAAUAAAAUAUUGGCAAAAGAGUAAAGAAUUGAAGUGUUUCAGAUAAACACAUCUACAAUAGUUGUCUAGUAACUAGAUUUGCUCUAGAAGUUAGUUCAAUAGUUAUUUGUAGUUUAUAGUGUAAGUUUUAUCCUAUUAUAUUCUCUAUAAUUAUGUAAUUAGGAUUAGUUAUUUAGGUAUAAAAAAUUAGAAUAAAAAUUACUAUGUUUUGGAGUCUGGUCCUCUCCGUAAGGACAACUUUAUUGUUGUAGUUUUGUUUACGAAUCUUGCACGAUUCGUGCACAAACCAUUGCCAGUAAAAUUAUCUUCUUUGUUCUAAUUCUUCAGUUAUUUACUUCUGGUUACUAUCAGAAGUCGUUAAACAUAAGAUAAUUAUCUAAGUCAGAAUAAGGCCCUGACCAUACUAUAAACUAAACUAACCUGAAAAGAAAAUUUAGAUAAAAUUUGCAUUCCGGAGAAUAGAGGGCUCACCAAAACUAAGACUUCUAUAAGUGCUCCUACUUCUACACAGAAUCACAACAAUAUGCCUCGAAACCUACAUCGUAAAAGGAUAGAAUCCUGGAAGGUCAAUAUAUUUGUAUGUAGAACAUGGAAGUAAAAUAUCAUUAUUUACCCUUAUCAAAUCUUGGGCUUCUGAAUAAAGAAAAUGGGGUAUUUGUAUUGGAACUAAAAGGAGGAAUUGCUAUGGAGAAACAACUCUCAAGACUACCAUGGGCUGCGACCUCCUCACUAAUUUACUUGCACACACUAAUGAGUUUAAACAAGAUAACAUUGCGCAUAUAUGUCAAAACAUUUUUUAUGAUUCAAAACAUAUCAAAAUUAUCAUUUUCUUGUGAGUGUCAUGCUCCAUCAUAUCUAAAUUAUCAUCAUCUGCAUUAAACACGUCUCAAAUUUGAAUAAACCAAUUAUUGAUUAUUCUCUUUCCCAGCUAAUGGUCGAGAAAUAAUAGUUCAAAUUAUUUUUGACUAUUAUCUAUUUUUUGUUAGGUUUAAUCAUCCCAUACUAGUGUGUGCUAAUUUUAUUAAUUUGAAAAUCAUUUUUGGUCUAAUUAAAAGAAUAUAUAUAUUUUAAAAUUAAUUAAAGACGUAAUUCAUUGAUAGACAUCUUAAGUUGGAACAAUUGUUUACUUAGACACCUCAAGUAAGCCUUUUAUAUUUUAAACAUCCGUAGUAAGGCUUUGUUGUGUCAUUUUAACACCUUUUGUACAGUUGACAACUCACGUAUUUUCAUCCAUAAAAGACGCGUAAAAGAUUAUUUUUUCAACUUGGAUUCCAACAAACUUUCACUCACUCCCAUUUAUUUCCCAUUUAUUUAUACUUUCUUCUUCAUUACAUCUUAGCACUUCAAUUUAGCUCUAGUUUCAUAAAGAUUUGAUUUUUUUCUCUCUUUUUCUUAAUCUUUUUUCCGCUACUUCAAUUGUGACAAUGUCGAUGUUGUCCAACUCUUCCAUGGCCUAUUUGGAUGAUGAUUUUCGGUAUUUUAGAAGUUCUAAUGAACCAUUAUUGAAGUUAUUUAGGACCCAAUUAAAUUCAUAUUGUCGUUUUUUUAUUUGUAAAAUUUCAAAGGCAAAAUUCUUUUUUUUAACUUCUAGUUAAUUAGGCAGCCUUAUAUUAUUUUUUAAAGUAGUUGAUUAAUUAUUAGCUUUUGAUUGCUUUUGUAGAAAAUGGAUGGUUGUGAUUAUUUUUAUUGGUAUGAAGAUGAACAUCCUCUUUAAGCAAAUAGAGAGUGACAUGGGGUUUCUGAAGAAAGACCACUUUUGAUGAGAAAAUAAAUCUAGCAAGAAAUAUAUUGAUAUUAGUGUCAUUGCUACUGGUCUGGUGAUGUUUGAAAUAUGAAAAAACUUAAUUGUUAGAUGCACUAUAAUAGGUGUCGUGUUCCUAAAGUGUCGGUGUUGAAACGUGGGGGGUACAUCACCACUAAGGGACCAGGUCCCUGAAGUGAAAUAUAUGACAAUAAAGCAGUAAACACACAUAUAUGCAGUAAAUAAAUCAACAUAAUGAUUUUACGUGGAAACUUCCUUGCUCAAUGAACGAAAACCAUGACCUGUACUCACAGGUUCUCAAACUCCACUAUAAUUAAAAUAAAUCUUGAUUACAGAUUCCAUUUGAACUUGACUCCAAGUUUUUGUAAUUUGUAAUAACUCUAUUACUUCACCUCUUGACAACUCUAUCAAAAUCACUCUCAGCACUGAUUAACUCUAACCAACACAAGCUUAGGUAACUCUAUCUAAUAAACUCAAAAGCAAAAAGAAAUCUUUAAUUUUUAUCUUUGAGUAAAUCAAUUACAGGACUUGACUCAAGAACACCUACACUAUGAGAGUAAGAGUCUUUUAAAUUGAGCUUAGAGAGAGUUUUUGUCGCCAUAGUAGAAUUCUUUAAUUUUCAAAAACUAUGGAGGAAAGAGCAUCCUUAUGUAUUUAUAGUAGUAUAGGAUAAAGUGAUCGAAUUUUGAUUAGACCCGGUGUCCAUUCUGGUAUGUUGUGUACCUAUACAACUAUUGCACUAGCAGACAAAACUGUGCAGAGUGUGACAACUAUGUCUGGGCAAAGUAAGUGAGGGACCUGAUCCUCUGAGUUAUCUCAUCAUCAUCAAAACAGUGACACCAAUUUUCUCCCUUUUGAUGAUGGUAAAUCAUGUUUAGAAAGCAUCAAAAUUCAUUCAAUUCUAAAGUAACCAACAUCUACACAUAUAGUAUCCUUUCAGCAACAUUCCUUCACUCUCUCUUAUGAGGCACAUCACAACAGUAUCAAUGUGUGUAUUCCUCCUGUCAAUACUCCCUCUGUCAUCAAUAUCCCCCUAUCACCAACACUCCUACAUUGGUACCUGGCACCUACUAUAGAAAAUUUAAUUUCCCUUUUUGGAAUCAUAAAAAAGUAAGAAUAGUAAACCAAGAUAGUAAUAAACAUAAAUGGGUUAACUUAUGGUCACUGAGGCAACACUAAUAUGAAUGAACAACUUAAGAAAGGAGAAUCAUUUGAUAGACACAAAAUAUGAUUUUUUUCAUUAUAAGCAAGCAGUACCAUACCGUGCAAUAAAAACAACAUUCAAUUCUUGAACUGAAAGAGCCACUAGAAAUAACAAAGGGAAACUGAAAUAAGGAAAAGUUUAAAACAAAGAGAGCUUAGGUAGAUGGAGGUUUGGGAGAGAGGGACUCAAGAAACAUUACCAUCCUAGAAAUAUCUAUAGCAUGAGAGUUUAGCAACUGCUUAGUGAGGUCCUUUACUUUUGCAUUCAAUCCUUGAACCUCCUCUGUGAGUACUGAGACUUUAGUCUUCAAUUCUGCAUUUUCAGCUCUAAGUGCUUCAGCAGUACAUGGUCCCUCACUAGAAUUCUACUGGUUCCUCAUCUUUAUGUAUAGAAUCUUUGCAUCCUUAGCAUCUAAAUUGAUCCUCAUCUCCUUUACCUCUUUGCUUAACUUCUUCUAGGAUGAUAGCAAUUCGGACACCUGGGACAUGGUCCCUACUUUGCCUUCUAUGCACUCAUUUUCAAUUAGGAUAGUCAAGGUGAAUAUCUAUUUUACAUUUUAAGGAGUCUCAUUUUCACCAACUACUUCAAAGUAAUCAAAUACCCUAUUGAAAAAAUAUCCAUAAGGCAUCUUAUAUCUCCUUUUCUAGACAUAGAUAACCUUAUACAUGUGCUCUAUCAUUAAUGUAGGUAGGCUGAUAAGUUCAAACUUACUCAGACACUUGAUCAUAAAAAGAUCAACAACAGAGACUAUUGUCCUCUUCUCAGACUUGGGCAAAACCACCUUAUUCACAAACUCAAAAACUAUCUGAAAUUCACUUUUGAGAAAUUUCUUUAUUACACCAGCCAUAGAUGUUCCCUUUACCUUUGAGGCAUCCAUCAUAAAUUCUGUUGAGGGUUGUUGGUUUGAAAUAGUCCUCAGUCCAACUAUAGGAAAAUCCAGAAUUUUCACCAAGGUUUCUUCAUCCAACUUCAAUUUUUUUUCCUUAAACCAAAGCUGACAGACUCAGCCCAUCAUAAAAAAACUUCAUUGUGUAAUAAAAUUGCCUCACUUUAUUUUCAAAGGAAGAGGGAACUGGUUCCUCUAAAAGGUAAAACAAGCCCUGGUGCCUUACACUACUAAUUCCACCAUUCCAGGCUUCUUAAAGAUCUAGGAAUAAAACACUUUCCCAAUUAAAACCUUCUAAGUUUUUAAUAUGUCAUUUCUUUCCUCUCUAGUCAAACACUUCUCUUCUUUCUCUAUCUUUCUUCUUUUAGAGCCACUCCCAGAUUCUUCUUUAAUAACUUUUUUUUUCUUGGGAUCAGGCCCCCAGUUACUUUCUUCUUCACAAUAAUGUGUUUCUUAGAAGUUGGACUCCUUAUUUUUAUCUGAGAGGACUUGGUCCUCCCUUCACCCUGAACUUCUCUUUUUUUUUUUGUUACAGCAACAACAUCAGAGUUAAUUUCAUUAUCACCCUCUUCAAAUUUAACCACUUCCACAUCUUCAUCUAACACUGCUCCUUUUCUUAAUCCCAUUCUCUUAGUAGUUAAAGAUUUACUUGCCUUCAUGGCAUCUCCCAUCAAUUUUCUCUCAACACCUCUUGCGAGUAAGUCUUGGUCACCAGCUUCCUUCUUUUAGAGCCACUCCCAGAGUCUUCUUUAAUAACUUUUCUUUUCUUGGGAUCAGGCCCCCCAGUUACUUUUUUCUUCACAAUAAUAUGUUUCUUAGGAUUUGGACUCCUUAUUUUUGUUUGAGAAGACCUAGUCCUCCCUUCACCCUGAACUUCUCUUUUCUUUUUUUUGUUGCAGUAGAAAUAUCAGAGUUACUUUUAUCAUCACCCUUUUCAACUUUAACCACUUCCACAUCUGCAUCUAACACUUCUCCUUUUCUCAAUCUUUUUUUCUUGGUAGUUAAAGAUUUACUUGCCUUCAUGGCAUCUCCCAUCAAUUUCCUCUCAAAACCUCUUGUGAGUAAGUCUUGGUCACUAUUAUAUAGUUAACCACUUUUUAUUUACCCUUACUACCUCUUUGUUUUUGCACAAACCACCUCAGAGGCAAGUCAUCCUUAUCAACCCCUCAUCCUUAUUGGGAGGUUGUACAAACAAACUAGUAUGCUCAUCAGCUUUAGGAGAUGUAUCAAAUGAGGGAUAAAUAUUUUCAUCACCCAUAACAGGUUCCUCCAUCCCUAUAGAACUCUCUCUAGGAUUAUUUGACAGCAAUAUUAGAUUCUCAGCAAUCCAAUCCUCUCUAGCCAACUUACUACUAGAGGGGUUGGAUUUUUUGACAGAGAGUUCUUUAUUAAAUAUUUGGGCAAUAAUAGGGUUUGAAUCAUAAGUGGUUGGAGAGCCAGGUUUGUUUAGAGUUUCAGGGUGGUUUACCUUUUCUGGGUUUUCUAAAGGAAUGGGGUUUUGAGGGAACUCGACUUCUAUAGGUGACCCAAAAGCUUUACUUUGGUCAAAAAUUAUAGUAGUUUCAGAGAUGGGUUCUACCAUUUUUGGGGUUUCUUACAUGGUGGAAUCAUCCAUGGAAACUGGUGAGGAAGACGAGUCAACUAAUGGGUUUUCAGUAGAGGGUAUAGAAGAUAAAAUAGGUUUAGAAAUUCAUGUAAUUUUUAAAGUGCACAUGAGUGAUAUUAACCUGUGGGACGGUACUAGGUCUCUCCCUUGCUGGAGUAAAUCUUUUAUAUUGUGUCUGUAUUAUUUGUUCCCCUUCAAAGUGGCUCACCAUACGUGUAUACCUUCAAAGGUAUGGUAUCGAAUUAGAUAAAAAAACACAAAUUCCAUCAAUGAUACCUGUCGCCUAAUCAUAGCCAAUGAUUUGAGAAAAUUGAUUCACGAAGUAGGUGAAUUCAUCUUGAUUAAUCCCAACCUCAGUCUAUUCUUUACAAAUUUCUCCUUGUGAAGAGCCUUUGUGAAAAUAUCAACUAUCUAAUCUUCACUCUUACAAAAUUUCAUGCAAAUGUCUCCUUUUUCAACAUUGCUCUCAGGAAGUGAUGCCUUACAUUAAUAUGUUUUGUCAUUUUAUGUUACUUUAGGUUUUUAGCCAUGUUUAGAGCACCUAUAUUGUUAUAUAUUAAAGGAAUAGUAUCAGAGACAAUCGAAAGUCCUUCAGUUGAUGUAUGAUCCAUAGCGGUUAAGCACAACAAGAAACCGCAAUCAUAAAUUAAGCUUCACCAAUAAACAGUGCAACUGAAUUUUGUUUCUUAGAUCCCCAAAAAAUUAGAGAAGAGCCUAGGAAAUGAGUCAUUCCUAAGGUACUUUUUCUAUCCACUAAGUAUCCAGCAUAAUCAAUAUCAGCAUACCCUAUUAGAUCAAAACUAUCUGUAAACGGAUAAAACAGAACCAGGUCCCAGUCCCUUUCAAAUAUCUGGGAAUUUUCUUGGCUACUUUCACGUGAGACUUCUUUGGACAUGCUUGAAAUCUAGCACCCAUACCUAAAAUAAACACAAUAUUAGGUUUGCUUAUAGUGAGAUAUAGAAAGGGUCCAGUAAUCCCUCUAUACAUAGUCUCAUUAACAGAGGUACCAGGUUCAUCAUUAUCCAUAUUUGUGCUAGUUCUAAUGAGAGUAUCAAUUGGCUUGACAUCUCCCAUGUUGAAUUUCUUCAGUAGCUCCUUGAUGUAUUUGUCUUGACAAAUCAUUUUACCUUGAGAAGUUUGUUUGAUUUCCAGACCUAAGAAGAAGCUCAGUUCACAUAUCAUACUUAAUUCAAACUUACUCCCUAUUAAUUUGAAAAUUUCUUCACACAAAGAUUCAGAAGUUGCUCCAAAAAUUAUGUCAUCAACAUAAAUCUGCACAAUCAAUAAGUUAUUCUCUCUGGAAUUUAGAAAGAGAAUAUUACUAAUUUUUUCUUUUUUAAAACCAUUUUCCAGAAGAAACUUUGACUGUAUCUCAUACCAAUCUUUAGGUGUCUGCUUCAACCCAUAAAGAGCUGUGGGAAAUUGACAUCCUUAAAACCUGGAGGUUGUUUGACAUAAACUUCUUCCUUCAAAUCUCCAUUUAAAAAGGCACUCUUGACAUCUAUUUGGAAGAUUUUGAACCCAUAUAAUCUGCAAAAGAAAUGAGAAUCAUAAUUAUUUCCAUUUUGGCAACAGGAGCAAAGGUCUCAGUCAAUACCUUCUUAUUAAUUAUAUCCUUGAACAAUAAAUCGUGCUUUAUUUCUGCUGAUAGUGUCAUGUUCAUCCUGCUUAUUUCUAUACACCCAUUUUGUCACAAUGAUUUUUUUUUUAACAUGCCUAGGGAUCAGGUGCCAAGCUUUGCUCAUUUCAAAUUACUAAAGUUCUUCCUACAUAACAUUGAUCUAGUUAGCAUCAUUUGGGUAUUCCUUUAUAUUUUUAGGUUUAACAUAUGACAAGAAGGACGAGAAAGCCAUAAAAUUCCUGGAUUGAGCUCCUAUUUGCAUUCUAGAUUCUAAGGAAGAGGUUAAAUUUUCAAGGAGAUAAAAUGAUUUCUGCUUUCAAUUUGAUCUUCUUGAUUGAGGUCUGCUGGGACCAGGUCCUUGAGGAUUUUGAACAUAUUCUUCUUCUAAAUUUGGAUUCAAUAACUGAGGACUUCAUUCACUAACACCUUGUUCAUCAACAAGUGUAUCAUUCUAUUCUUGAACCUCAACUUCAGCUAUACUAUCUCUUUGAAUACGAAUAAGUUAUUCCAUGUCAAAUUUUUCACCUUCAGCAUUUUGCUUUCUUAAUUCAUUAGAGACCACAUGUACACUUUCUUACACACAUAGGGUCUUUUUGUCGAAGCCUCUGUAUGCUUUACUUAUUGAGGAGUAGCCUACAAAUGCAACUUCAUCACUUUUGGAGUCAAAUUUUUGAAUCUCAUUCUUUCCAUUGUUUAGAACAAAGCACUUGUAACCAAAGGUUCUAAAAGAGUCAAGCUUAGACUUUUUACUGAACAUAAGCUCAUAUGGAGUUUUGUUUAAGAUAGAUCUGAUCAAGCAUCUAUUGGUUACAUAACAGGCAGUAUUAAUAACUUCAAAUCCAAAACUUUUAAGAAGACUACUAUCAAUCAGCAUGGUCUUUGUAAUUUCUAUGAGUAUCCCAUUCUUUUUUUGACCACUCCAUUUUGCUGAGGAGUUCUUGGAGAAAAAAAAUUAUUACUAAUGCCAUUUUCAGCACAAAAUUCUUCAACUUUGUCAUUCUCAAACUCAGUUCCACGAUCAAAUCUGAAUCCUACAAUCUUGUUGUUCAGUUUUAUCUUAAUUUGCUUGGCAAAUACCACCAAUACUUUAUAAGUUUCAUCCUUAGCUCUUAGGAACAUGGUCUAAGAUAAUCUAGAAUAGUAAUCCAUAAUAACACACAUAUCUUUUCCCAUCUUUACUUUGAACUUUGAAAGGUCCACAUGGGUCCUUGUGCAAUAAUUUAAGGGGUCUUAUGGUACUUACCUGCUUCUUUUACUUAAAGGAAGAUCUAGUUUGUUUUUCUUUGAUACAAGCAUCACAAACCUUGUUAUUUAAAAACUAUAGCUUUGGAACGCCACGGACCAGGUCAUUUGAUAUUAGUUUGUUAAGUAGAGAAGAGCUUACAUGUCCUAACCUUCUAUGCCACAGAACAACAUUUUCACUUUGAACACUUAAAUAAGUCAAUUCAUUGUCAGCUACUGAGUCUAAGUUAGCCACAUACAUUUUCUCACAUCUUUUAGUUUUGAGUAUAACUUUCCCAGACUUCAAGUUAGACACAUUGCACCCAUCAGAUAAGAACUUCACUUUAUUUUUUUUAUCACAGAUUUAGGACACACUUAGAAAACUAUACUUUAAACCAUUCACAUAAUAAAUAUCCUUAAUAACAUGAUUUAAGUAUUUUCCAAUCUUUCCAACACCAUGGAUAUAGCCUUUCUUUCUAUUUAAAAAAAGACACCUCUACCUUGAAGUACCUUGAAUAAGAGAAAAUAGUUAGUUCUUCCAGUCAUAUGCGUAGAGCAUCCACUAUUCAUGAAUCGGCUUUGACUAUCUUCCCUUGCUCCCACCUAUAUAUAGAGGUUAUGUAAUACCCCAUAUUUGAAAGACACUGUGCAAUAUAUGACUCAUUCUCUUGAGUCAUACCUAUGGCAGUGUGGAGUAGUUAAAGUCUAUUGCAGAUAAGAGUUGACCCUAGAAAUCAUCAAAGCAUGGUACAUAUCGUAUGAAGUGAGGUUGUGAGUUCAGCAGUAUAGGUUCCCUAAGUUUUUAUCCAUGAUACAAGUUGUUUUAAGUCGUAUACACAAUUAAUGAGUCAUGAGUUACUACUCAUAUGUUGACCAGUAUGUUCAAGCUUUGCCACUACUGAGCUUAUGAGUUACUAGUCUAACUCGUACCCUCAUCAUAGUAGUCGUAUGUUUGACUCGUGAUGACUGGCGAUCAAUUUCUGUAAGAUUUAGUUAAAGGGAUUUUUGGUCUUUUUCCCCUCAUAUAAUUCCCAAUCCACGACCUAUAACCCCAAAAAGGCGUUAUUUUCUCUAUCCUUCAAUCAAUUAACAAUAUCUUUUCUCCUCCCAUCUUCAAGAACAACAAGAUUAGGGUUUUCUCACUAAGUCAUCUCUCAAGUCUCAAAGUUCAAGUCUUCUUCAUAAGUUAAGUAAUUCCAGGUAUGUGGGGUUUUGAACAAGGUUAAUCUUCCAUCCUUAUGCCCAAAAACCAUGAUUUUAAGAUUGAAUUUAAAUGUUUUAUAUAAGGGUUCAUCCCUUAAAUUCUCAUGUAUUGAAGUAUACCAUUAUCUUAUGAUUUAUAAGGCUAAAGAUGCAUAAAGGUUACAUCUACUCAUGUUUUGAACUAUAAGUUUGAUGUUAUGAUUUGAGUUUCAUUACUUUGAUUUGGAUUCUAAUGAAAGAUUUCUAUAUGUGUAUUGAACCUAUUUUGUCUCAAAUUUUCUUAAAGAAAGUAUAAGUUUCAGGAUUUAAGAAGAAACAUUAAGUUUAUAAGAAAGUUUAAGUCUUUUGAAGUUCCAUUCAUAUGUAAUAUAGCAUGAUUCAAGAAAGCUUGAUCUUUUGAUCUAAAGAUAAGACAUGAAAUCCACAAAUUGUUCAUCUUGAGUAUGAUUUAAAGUAAAAGAGAAGCAUAAUUAGCUUUCAGUCUAUAAACACUUAUGCUAUUUCAGGUGGAUUUCUUAAGUAUGAGCAUAUAUGUAUUUUAGGAGUAGUAUUUAGCACCAAGAAGGGAAUGAGGAUGAGCGUAUCCUAAAUUCUUGGAAACUAUGAGCCACCGUAGGUUAAGAUUUUUCUCAAUAUGGAUGAAAUAUAGUGAUGACUUAAGUUAAGGUUCUAUUCUGAUGGCAAGGGUAGAAUAAAUCUCCCCAAAGUGUGUAAGACGUUGGACUCCAUGGUAGCUUACAUGGUUUAUGUCGGUUAGGAGAAUCUCCCACAAGAAAUAAUAAAAGUAAAGAUUUUAGAAACUAAGUGAUGUGGCUCACUAAGAUUGUCCAUAUUCUUCAUUAUCCAUGUUUUAUGAUCUUGUAGUCUUUAUUUUUAUUAAAGUACAAGGUGAGUCAUUUACGCUUAGUAGGAAUUAUUUGAAAAGUUUACAUAUAUAUAUAUAUAUAUAUAACUCUUGUUUUAUUUAUGCAAUCACCCCCACAUACUCGGUACAUUCCAGAAAUACUGACCCCUAUAUACAUCUAUGUGCUACAUUGUCUUAUAAUAUAGGUUCAGGUGUGUCACGCCUCAAAUCUUAGUGAGGCGGACUGGCACUCGUAACCGAGGAGGCCCGGGAGAAUCAGCUCAUAACCUUAUACUUCCCAUGCAUACCUCUAUGACAACCUGAAAUUCGGACAGCAUCAUGUCACAUAUAAAAGGAAAUAAUCACCUGAUAAGCUCUAGCAAACAUAUAUAUGUAUAUAUAAUACUUGGCCGUUGGAGCCAUCACGUCUAUUAACAAAACACCACCUUGACUGUACAUUAGGUCUACAAAGCCUCUAGACAAUACACAGAGUUUAACUAAGGUCGGGACACACCCCGCCAUAUAACUAACUUCUAUACAAUACCAAAAGUGACUGGAUAUGACACGAAAAGUCCCAAAGCAAACUGGAGCUCACCAAAAGCAGCUGGAUAUCCUAACUCCUACUUGUGCGGUGUAUGAGCUGAGGUACCUGUGCCUGCAGCAUGAAAUGCAGGUCCCCCGUGAGGGACGUCAGUACGAAAUAUGUACUGAGUAUGUAAAGCUGUAGAUAAUCACAUAUGAUAUAGGAGCUCAAUAGAAAGCAAAAACAAGUGACUAAAUCGUAAUAGGAGUGGACCACACUUACUAGAACUUGUGACAACCUAUACAUUGUAUUUAUUCAAUCACUUUACCGUCGUUCUUAUCAUCUUUGUAAUCAUUACUGUACUGUACUGUGACCAUUAGGAUGCCUCCAGUACAUAUCAACUGGGAUCGACCCAUGCUAGGCUUAUGCCCCUGAGAUACCACCCAUAAACACAUAAAUAAGGAUCGACCCAUGAUAAGCUUAUGCCCCUGGAAUACCACCCGAUAAGAGAGAACUUUCAUCACUUAGUUCAAUUAAUCUUUGAGAUUGUUAUUUCGGUCGUCACCACAUUUUUGAUACUUUGAAACAGUGAUACAUCAAUAGGAACCAAGUAAUAGACCUUCUAUACAAUAACGAUAUAAUAAAGACUCAUUGGUACAUCAACAAUGUGUUUCAGAAUCAUCAAUAUCACAACAAUGAAAUAGGAGUCUUUUGGUAUAUCAAUGAAACAUUUUGACACUUUAUAGAAUGGAAACAACUUCGUUGGUAACGUAGAACAAUACAUGUUUUUGGACAACCUCGGAAUCUUACUUGAUGGAACAUUGGUGUUUUCAUGCCAAAGAACAUUGUUAGAGUAUGCUUUACAUACCUCGUUGUAGAUUCAGAUACCAAUUCAACACAACUUCCCGCCUUUACAAAUCACUUAUCUACAAUGAAAUGUUUGGCAUCUAGUAUUAGCAACCCAACACCACAAUUCUCUUCCAUAAUUCCAUACUACCAAUAUUUGCAAAACAUUCCAAAAACCAACUUGAACAAUAGGUUUAUGUGUGUAUAUAUAUAUAAUCAUCAUUUCAAUACCACAUCAUCAAUACUACAUCAUCACCCCAAAUUCCUUCACAAUUUAAC
rnacentral:lncRNA from 1 species